AGCACUGAAAUUAUCUUUAUGUUUAUUUGGCUUUAUGUUUAUCAAAGUUGCCAUAAUGCAGUGAGCCAAAUACUAGUUACGAUUGUGUUUGGACAGAUCAUAUUUUAAGAAUUUUUAUAAUCUACUGUAGCACCAUCUUCGGUGUGGUUCUGUAUGGGCAUCAAACAUUUAGAUUGUCGCUUGAUCAUAUGGAACGUAUCAGGGCCCGUUCGGUUUGGCCGGAAUGACCUGGAUUGUAGCCCAAUCCGGGCGGAUUGGAAUGGCUCGGAACGAAUACGAUCCAAUAUAAAAAUUGUUGUUCAGUUGGUUUGGUCCGGAACCAAACCUAGGUUGAAAUGAUUUCAAUCCUUCCUUCCUUUGCCCGGAAUCAAUCCCACCUCAUCCCUCCCGGAUCGGUUCCUGGCCACGGAUGCGAGGAGACAAUGCUCUGCUGGCGGCGGGAGGUGACAGUGUGGCGGCGUGGCACAUCUUCGACGGCCACCACCGUGACGGCGGCCGCCGCCUUUUCCUCUUCUCUCCCUCUCGCCCUAGGUUUCUUGCUUCUUGUGUCCUCCGCUCGAUUUGGCGCUUGAUCUAGGUGGGGGACUGCGGUAUUGUGCUGGAUCUGCUGGAGAUUUGGUUUGCUCGAUGUGCUCACGAUUAGGUUUUCAAUACGAACUGGUUCUCCGUCCGGGAGAAGAGCCUCCAGUUCUCUUGUUUUUGAGGUUGUUGAGCCUAGGGUGUAGUGGUGGCGGUGGCGGCAGCGGCAGCCGUGGUGGCGGCACCCUCCCACCCGGGGCAGUGGCGGCGGCUGCGGAAGGGUUUGUUUUACCCGAAACAGGGAGGCUCUGGGGGAAGUGUGUACGGCCGCUUCGUGCUGGGGGCAGGCGCUGCGCAAGAUCCGGACCGGAGGGUGCGGGGGUCUCGAGGGUGGCGCCGUGGCAUCGGCGUGAUCUGAAAUGGGAUUGGGCCCGGCGGCGCGGUAUUUGCAGCGAAGGUGCCAGCCAUGACCACCAACACCAAGCGCGCGUACGAGCUCCAUAUCCUCGUCAAUUUGUCUCUGCUAUUUCACUAACUUUUUUGAAUUUCUUCUCAGGGUGGUGCAUAGCUGGGAAAUUGCUGGGAAUUCCUUCGCAGGAUCUUUCAUGAGCAUAGCGCUCUUAUUGAUGGAAGAAUUCUUUCUUUUCUAGAUAACGUUAAUCUCUGAUUCUUGCCACGUUGCCUUACUUGCUAUUAUGCUUUAGCUGUUAGCUGUUGUUGAUCUGGAGACAACUAAGUUGAUCUAAAAUGAUAGGUGAAUGCAGCUGGGUACUGUUUAUUGCACAUUUGAGUUUGGUGCUAUUGUAAACUGUCAUUCUGUUAGCUGUGAUUUAAAUAUAUUUCUUGUUAUGUUUUAUGACCGUUGUUAAUUUCUCUCAUCAUGAUAAUAGAUAGCUGUUCUUUCUCCAAUGGUCUAGACUGAAUAUAAGUUAAAGAAUGGUUACAACUAGGCUUUGGUUUUGACAUAGUAGUGACAGUCACAGUUGCUAAAGCAGUCACUAUUUUUUCCUUUCUUGCUUGCUCAAAACUAUUAGCAAUCUGUUGGAUCUGCCUAACAGAGUGAUGCUCUUGCCAAUUUUCCAUGCAGUAUAUAAGCUGAAUCCUUGUAGUAAGUCUUGUUAGUUGUUCCAUCUCUUAUGCUUUGAAGUUCAAAGCAGUUGAUUAGUAUCCCCAAAGAAAUAAUAUGUUUCCAAACAGCACCGAGACAAUGAGCUUCUGUGACCUCACAAACUCUUCAUUCCUGCAGGUUCUCCAUCAGGUGGUGGCAGGCUGGCAGCAGCUCUAGAUACGUUUGUUUGAUCCCACAGUAGAUGAUUUGCUAUGAUGUUUCUGAGAUGGUGAUUCUACGACUAUCACGAUACACUCUGUUCUGGUGGCAAUGUACUUGUGUUAGAUAUCAUAGUGCUAUGACUAUGCUUUUGUAGACCACAUUUGCCUGCCGUGGUGUUAUGAAGAUGCGUCUGUUGUUCUUGCCAUGGUGCAAGUUAUAUUGGGGACAAAUUUUGUGUUUGUUCUGGAUAGUAACAAGGUUGUUUACUAUUCAUUUUUUGUGGUGGCCAUGGAUUGUAGACGCAAGCUGACCCGGAAGUGGUGUGGUAUUUCUUAUAUUUUCUUGCUAGCUUGAUCUGGAUUGAUUCCACCUGUGUGCAUCUUCGGUUUGAGUGGAUUGGUAGGAUUAAAUUCUAGCCGGAUUGAGUGACACAGGUGGAAUCACUUGAACUGGGCGUGGAAGUAAUCCUAGUCGGGAUCCAAUGCGACCAAAACGAACGAGGCCUCAGUAGUUUCACCGUUGGAUUGUUCCUCGUUCCAAUCAGGUCAUAAUACUAGGAGAUUCUCUGUCUCGGUGGCAACACAUGUAUAUUAGGCAUACUCCCUCUCUCCUAAAUUACUAUUUGUUUUGAUUUUUGUAGAUCCAUAAUUUUUACUAUGCACCUAAUAUAUAUAUAUAUAUAUAUAUAUUAUAUAUAUAUAUCUAGAUAGAUAUAUGGUAAAAGAUAUGUAUCUAGAAAAGUCAAAACGAAUAGGACGGAGGGAGUACUGUACAGGAACAUUGACCCCUACGAAGGCUUGGCUAACAAAUUAUGAGAUUGACAAGAACCUUGAGAUCACUUUCUUAAUUUGAACAUUGUUAGUUAGGACUACACUUGAUACUAGUUUGGAGCCAUGAUUUUAUUAUUCUACCAAAAGACAUCCUUCAACUGAAAGAUGCCUCUCCUUUCAGAGGAAACUUUCAGAGGAAACUGUACUCCUAUGCUACUAAUUCUUCAACAUUAUUAGCUUGUAUAAAUUGACUAACUUAGAUUGCUUCACACAUUUUUUUCCUGCUUGAAAUUCUUAAUGCUGCGAUGGAUUUUGGGCACACGAAUUUUAAUUGUAUUCGCUGCUGAUUCGAUGAACCCAAAUACGGAAAUACCCAAGUUUUGGGUUUACGCAAGUACCCAACCUAAAACCCACGAGCCGAAAACUCCCAAACCCUCGAUCCGUCCUGCUGCCCCCUCCUCUCCUCUCGUCUCUCCCUCCGGCGAAGCCACCAUGCUCGCCGCAGCUCGCUCCCUCCGCCGCCUCUCCUCUUCCUCCUCCUCCGUCCGCUCCCUCCGCGUCUUCCUGCACCCUCCCGCACCCCCGCCCUCGGCUCCGCCUCUCCGAACCCUUACCCGCGCCUUCCUCCCGCACCUCGCCGCCGCCCACCGCUUCUCCCCCGCCUCCUUCUCUUCCUCCGCCCCAUCCCGCCUAGGCGAAUGCGGUGGCGCGCGGGGAGCCCCGGCGAUUCCCGAGGAGGUGGAGGGGGAGGAGGAGGAGGCGGCGGGAGUGCUGGUGCGGCAUGACACGGACGCGUACGCUGCGGUGGAGCUGGCUCUGGACUCCGUGGUGAAGGUGUUCACGGUGUCCAGCAGCCCCAACUACUUCUUGCCGUGGCAGAACAAGGCGCAGCGAGAGAGCAUGGGCUCCGGUAAGGCACCGAUUUUGGCGCUCGUGUCGUAGUAGUGUAUUGCUGUGUUUGGUUUGGAUCUCUGCCACGUAUUUAGGUGUCUGUGUGCGAGAGGCAUCGAAAGUAAGCUUGUGGAGGGCUUGAGUGUCAAGUUCUCUUGAAAUCGACCUAAAAAAAAUCCACUCGUUUACAUUACAAGUUUAGAGCUCGUGGUUGAGUAAUUUGCUGGUUCCAAAUUUGCAAAGGAAAUUUGUACUUUAGCUCUGAAUUGUGUGUCUCAAUGUCUGUUGUAUAGGCAUAUCAUAUGUUGUAGAGCACGGGAAUUGUUGGAUCUUUAGGUAUACCGACAAGCUGAUGUGGUUAAUAUUACUCCACAGUUCGCAUGGUGUGAAAAAUCAAUCUUUGUAGACCUUAUGACAACUGAGCAGAUUCAAAUGCACUGAAACAGAAGUCCUUCUUUGGUUCAUCUCUGAAUUCAAUGUCCCUGUUGCAGGAUUUGUAAUUCCUGGAAGAAGGAUUGUGACAAAUGCUCAUGUUGUAGCUGAUCACACUUUUGUUCUUGUGAGGAAGCAUGGUUCGCCUACCAAAUACAAGGCAGAGGUCCAGGCUGUUGGUCAUGAAUGUGACUUGGCUCUGUUGACUGUUGAGAGUGAGGAGUUCUGGGAUGGGGUGAACAGCUUGGAGCUUGGUGAAAUCCCCUUUUUGCAAGAAGCUGUUGCGGUGGUAGGCUACCCUCAAGGUAUGAGCCUGACAUUGAGUAGUUGGCAGUCUGAUAUUUAUUCCAGUAUUUGUAUCUAGAAGACGAACUUGUUAGUUAUAUAAUUCCAUUCCAUCCAUGACGGUAUCCAAUUCAAGUUGCACAUGCAGCAUACACAUGACCAUCUAUUCUGCAAGGGUGCAAUUGAUGAAUUGAAACAUGUUAGUACUGUUUUGGAUGAGUGAAUGUGGUCUAAUUGAUUGCAUCGGCAAGCAAACUAAUAAAUAAUUGGAACACAUGAAUACAGGAUGUUAAUGGAAAGGGGAAGCUCAAUCAUCUUUAUGAUUUCACCACUUCUAAAAUUCAUAACAAACAAUUUGCUUCUCUAUUAACUUGGUAACCAAUCAUGAAAAAUUCGUGAUAAGCAGCCCAGGAAUUUUAUGUAGCAAGUGCCUUUCUACUUUCCUGUAACAUCAUCUACAUGGCAGACUAUAUGACACCAAUAGCUACUCCAGUAUAUAUAGGUGCUACGACUUCCUGCCAUUUCAAUUUAUGCAUGCAUGCAUGCUUGUACCUGAUGAUAUUCGUAUGACUAUUUAUCUUAUCUCUCAAAGAUUGCCUACUUCUCCUAGUUGUGCAGCUCGGCAGGCUUCAAUAUUACUGCUAACAUUAAUCAUUGUGCAAGAGAUUCUCUCUAUACUUCAUAGAAAACAGAACUAUGUCAAAUGUUGGACAGUAUAUGAUCCUAAACUUGCUGUGACUCAGGUGGAGACAAUAUUUCUGUUACCAAGGGGGUUGUCUCUAGAGUUGAACCAACACAAUAUGCCCAUGGUGCUACACAGCUUAUGGCUAUACAAAUAGAUGCGGCAAUUAAUCCAGGUAACAGUGGAGGACCUGCAAUUAUGGGUGAUAAAGUAGCCGGAGUUGCUUUCCAGAAUUUGUCAGGGGCAGAAAACAUUGGGUGAGUCAUUAACCUUUUCCUUUUGCACCAAUUUAACCUUUGCCACCUAGUUUUUUUUCUUAACGUUUUCCUCUUUUUUUUUCAGUUAUAUCAUACCAGUGCCUGUGAUUAAGCGUUUCAUUUCUGGAGUAGAAGAGAAUGGUAAAUAUUCUGGAUUUUGUACUCUUGGAGUAUCUUGCCAGGCUACUGAAAAUAUUCAAUUAAGAGAGUGCUUUGGUAUGCGGCCUGAAAUGACUGGAGUUUUAGUUAGUAGAAUAAAUCCUCUAUCUGAUGCUCACAAGAUUUUGAAGAAAGAUGAUAUCCUCCUUGCGUUUGAUGGUGUACCUAUAGCAAAUGACGGGACAGGUGAGCUUAAAAGUUUCCACGUAUGCAAUACCUCAAUAUGCAUAACCAACCAAUUUCUGUUGCAUAUUUGUUUUUUUUUCCAUUUACCUUUCUAUUUGUUAUGGUAUCUGUGAGUCUGUAGCACGCAAUAACAUGGACGCAUAUACAUUUCACACCCUUGGUGCAUGUUUUUGCAUACUUCUUUGCAGCUUUUUGUGCAAAUCCGUGAAUCAAUUCAUGAACUAUUUCUAGAUAGUGGCAUCACAGCAUCAACCACUUAAUAUUGUCCGUUAUAUUGUCUGCAGUUCCAUUCCGGAAUAGGGAGAGGAUCACCUUUGAUCAUCUGGUGUCCAUGAAGAAGCCUGGAGAAACAGCUGUUCUCAAAGCAUUAAGAGAUGGUAAAGAGCAAGAAUUGAGUGUCAUACUUAGACCUGUGAGUCCUUGCCAUAUUAUUACAUUUGAUUUGAUCUGUACCUUUGAUUAUAUGGGUGCAAUUUAUGGUUGCUUGCUGGUUACCAAAUAUAGUAGUGUUAUUCUAUUGCUAUUCUUGUUUACCUUCACACCAAUUUUGCAAGUGCUAGACAUGGUAAUAGGUUCAACCUUGAAAAAUCUAGAUCGGUACACUAUCCCACAUAAGCAAUAUCCCUGUUCCAGAACUCACCAACAUAUCAAUGUAAGUUUGUACCACACCGAACCCAUUGAUAUUAGCUAAUGGGUCUGUUUUGGCCCUUGUAGAGUUAUUUAAGUAUCUGGGCAGAGACCAACUCAUCUCUUAUGUACUCCCUCUGUCCCAAAAAGAAUGAUGUUUUGGCAUUCAAAUUUGUCCCAAAAAGAAUGACGUUCUAGGAUUUAAAUCUUAUGCAUGCAUAAUUUGGCGUGUUGAUCUCGUGCAUGCAUGAUUAAAUGGAAACAUAUUUUCUUCAUUUUCUAUAUGCAAACUGAACUAACUAAGGGUACAUGCCUCUUUUUCAUUCACCUCUAAUCUGUCUGGAAAAUCCCAGAAAGUCAUUCUUUUUGGGAUGGAGGGAGUAGGUCCUUAGCAGUCCAUGUAAUUUGAACCAAAUGGUAUUCUACACAGCUCUCCCAGUCUUCUCUUUUCACUCAUCAUUUCUUUCUUCGCUAUUUCUGUGUUAUGCUAGUGCCUAUAGCUUUCAAAAUGUUGACCCUUGAAGUUGUAACUGAUUUCUUGUAUGUGUUUUUUUAUUAUGCAGUUGCAGCCUUUAGUUCCAGUCCAUCAAUUUGAUAAACUACCAAGCUACUAUAUCUUUGCUGGUUUUGUAUUUAUCCCGCUAACCCAGCCUUAUCUCCAUGAAUUUGGAGAAGACUGGUAUAAUGCCUCACCACGCCGAUUAUGUGAACGGGCACUAAGAGAACUUCCCAAGAAGGCUGGUGAACAGCUAGUUGUCUUAUCUCAGGUAUUGUACCAUUAAUUCACUACAUCACUGCGAUUCUGUUCUACAUUUCAAUAUUCCAUUCACAAACACUUGGUACCAGUUAUAUAGAAAAACACUUGGCACCACAGGAUUCCCAUUAUCUUCUGAUAAUAUUUAUCUUUGUACUGAAUAAUUAUUUUUCAGGUUCUCAUGGAUGAUAUCAACGUUGGUUAUGAAAGGCUUGCUGAACUGCAGGUAUGAUGCUAUAACUACCCUGGUACACUGGUACCCAAGCAGAGACAUCAAUUCUCCAGCAUAUAUCCUACUAUUCAAGAAGCCUAAUAUCGCACGAUCACCAGGUAAAGAAGGUUAAUGGUGUGGAGGUUGAAAACCUGAAGCACUUGUGCAGCCUUGUGGAAAGCUGCACUGAAGAAAACUUGAGAUUCGAUUUGGAUGAUGAAAGAGUCAUCAUCCUGAAGUACCAGAACGCAAGGCUCGCCACAUCCCGGGUCCUCAAGCGGCACAGGAUACCGUCAGCCAUGUCGAGCGACCUUGUCGAAGAGCAAGCGACUAACGGUGAGGUUGAGGCAUCAUGCACCAGCUAAUGGGGAGAUUUUUUGUAGACCUAGUUGGAGAGCUCCCUGCUGAAGCACAGUUCCGAGGAGCUCGCUUCAUUUUUGGCAAGGCAGGCGCACCUGCCAAUGACCUCCUGGAGUUGUACCAUGGCUUCAGUUGCUCCUUGCUGAGCCGCUUCAGUUUUGACGAAAGGAGGGUCGUCAGAGAAUAAGAUUAUGAGCGCCGGAGCUAGCCUGAUAUGUAACAGAAACGUAACCAUUCUUUUUUCCAAAGCAUCCAUUUUUACCGGGCGUUGGCGUAGCGCCCCCAAUGUUGAGUUCAGAUCAUGUAUCGUGUGUAUCAUCAGGAAGCACAGCAUAGAAAAAGAAAAAGAAUUUCAGUUCAAUGUUUCUUUGCAGACAUGUUAUGAAAAGGGGGAAAGAGUAAGAGAGAGGAGAAAGUGAACCUUGUUGUCAAGAUGCGUCUUGCAUCGGACAUCAGGAAAACCUCCAGGAGCUCUGGGCUUUGACCAACCUGUAAUGGGCCUCUAGGUGAUUCAUUCAUUCAAACUCUCGGUUGGGUCCAAUGGGCUUCAAUAGGCUGUAAAUUAGUGGAUCUCUGCCUCAUUUCCCCAAUUUUUUUUAUUUUCAUAUUUUUUAUUUUAAUAUUUUACAAAAAUUAAUAAAAAAUUGUAAAUCUAUACUUGUUGUACUGCCGUUUCAAACGGCGGAAGCAAGCGUUAAACCGACAGUAAGGACAGUAAGCUUCACGAAGUACACUUUCAAAAAAUCAUAACUAAUUCAUACGAACUCAGAUGGAGAUAAACUUUAUAUUAAUUCAUAUGAACUCAGAUGGUGAUAAACUUUAUAUGAAACGAGAUGCAUAAUUUUUUAGUUCAAUCCGUUUUCAUUUGGUGUCAUCUUGGUAUUCAAAUAAUCGACGCAAGUUUCAGAUCUAAAAUUCAAAUUUUAGGUUUUCAAAAAAUCAUAACUAAUCCAUAUGAACUCGGAUGGAGAUAAACUUUAUAUAAAAAUUAUAGAUCUCAUCGAGAAAUACAACUUUAUAGUUCAAACUAUUUUCAUUUGAUACUAUAUUUGUGCUUAAAUAAUCGACACAAGUUUCAGAUCUGAUAAUCGACACAAGUUUCAGAUCGACACAGAUCUGAAACUUGUGUCGAUUAUUUGAGCAUAAAGAUGGAUCUGAAAAUUGUGUCGAUUAUUUGAGUAUAAAAAUGGUAUUAAAUGAAAACAGUUUGAACUACAAAGUUGUAGAUCUCGUCGAGAUCUAUAAUUUUGUUAUAAAGUUUAUCUCCAUAUGAGUUCAUAUGAAUUAGUUAUGAUUUUUUAAAGGUGUACGGUAGGUUGGUACCUUCCGCCGUUUGAAAUGGUGGUACAGCUGUGGAUUUGCAAUUUUUUCUAUAUAUUUUUGCAAAAUAUUAAAUUAAAAAAUAAAAAAUAAAAAAAAUUCCAUUUCCAGGUUAGUUCAGCAGUUCAACUCACUGUCCACCUCCCGCUGCGGCGGCGUGAACAAAUAUCACGCCCCAAGAAGCAGAAGUGGAUUACGCACGCGAAGCUUAGCAAGAAUCACCUCCAAUCUUACUGCUUGACUCGAGCCCUAGAUUAGAAGAGAGGCGCACUGCGUGAGUGAGCGGUGGGACAGCACGAUGGCGCUGCCCGCGACCUGUUCGACGUUUUGCCUGAAAGGGGCGGAGCAGCGCGGUCCACCCCGCUGGAGCUUCCACAGGUUAUCUGCGCGCGCGGCGAGCCUCAUAGGCUUCGGUUCUUGCCCACGCCGCGGGAGGCUCGUGCUCGCCGGCUGCGCGCGGGCAGGGGCGGGGGCGAGCGACUCCAAGGCCGUGCAGCUGGUGCUCGGCGGCCGUGCGCGCGACGACGCCGGCGACACCGACUCCGAGUCCAGCGAUGACGAGGGCGGCGAGGACGGCGAGGUGCCCAUGACGGACGAGGAGCGGAGGACGCUGCGCCGGAAGAUACGGGAGAUGAUGGACCGCGUCCCGGAGACGGCGGAGCUCACGGACCCGGAGGAGCGGAAGGCCAAGAUGCGGGAGCUGCUGACCAAAUACGAGCUGGUGGUGGAGGAAGAGGACCCGGACUGGCCUGAGGACGCCGAGGAUGGGAUGGGCUUCAGCCUCGGCCAGUUCUUCGACAAGAUCACCAUCAAAGCCGAGAAGAAGGAUGACGCCGACGAGGAGGAUGACACGGGGAAUCAGGGUGACAAGGAGAUUGUUUGGGAGGAUGACAAUUACAUCAAGCCGAUUAGGGAUGUCAAGACACAGGAUUGGGAUGCGUCCGUGUUCACUGAUUUCGGACCGAUGGUUGUGCUUGUGCAUAACAGAUAUAAGAGGUACUGCAAAAUUCAUUCCUUGUUCUUUCUCAAGUGGUUGCACAUUGCAGUUGAAUAGAUUUGAAUACUUGAUAGUAUAUGCUGAACCUGAACGGUUCUGUCUAAAUUGCAAGGGAGCUAGUGUUUUGUCUUGUUUCAAUUGUCAAUGAAUAGGUCAUGGAAUUUAUUGAACACCCUUCCAUCCAAUGUCAGUUUGAGAAAGCAUGAUCUUUGUUCUUGUAGACCACAGGAGAAUGAGAUGGCAAGGGCUGAGCUUACUAAGGCGAUCGAGAUGUUUUGGGAACACAAUCUGCCGUCACCAAGGGUACAUACUUCGUUGCAACAUCUUUCAGUAAUUUCCUUGGUAAUUGGUGCUUCAAGGAGCUUCCAAGUUCUGACUAUGCACUUAUCAUUCUGCAGUGUGUGGCGGUAGAUGCCUGUGCCGAGCCUGACCUUGUGGACGCGCUGAAGGUUUCUGGUUUCCCUGAGAUUCUCUUCACUAAUGCAGGGAGGAUAAUACACCGUGAGAAAGGUAGGUUGUAUGGAUCGUCAUAGAGAAAUAAUCAGCUAAUUCACCAACUUGCUUUUGAUCAGCUGUGUUGUGAAGUUCCCUGACCAUGAAUCUCUCGUGCUAGUUGUUCGGUCGGCGGAGGCAUGGUCGAGGAUGAUGGCGUUCUUCUACUACAAAGCAGCAAGGCCACCUUUCUUGUGUGAAGCAGAUGGGAAGGGUCAAGAAAAGGUCCCUUUGAUGUCAUGAGAACAACGUGGAAGCUUAGCCUCGUAUUAGUUAUAGUAAUCUAGUGCCUCGAAUUGCAUCAGUGUACACUAUUAGGAUUCUAGUGUUGAAACUCUCAACUGUUUCGACAAAUCUCCACUAAGCAACCUCUUUGUGGUGCGGUGCAAUGUCUGGAAAUUUCUGUCACAAGGAUUGAACAUUAGACUAUUAGAAUAUAGAUAUAAAGAUCACAAGGAUGGAGAUGUCUAUGAAGUAUCCAAAUUAUCUAUUUAUUUUUCUUAUUUUGAUAUGAUACGAAUAUGGUGAGGAUCCCGGUGUUAUAUCGGGUUGACUUUAACACUGCGACAGGUUGCAAACAAAGAACAAGCAUAAUUUUCUGACGAUUGCUGGUAUCUGCUUGAUGCUUCGUCUUCCAUCUACGGCGAAUGCCAGUAAACUCUAGCGGCUUCAGGUUUCACAUCCAAGUAUAAAAUCCGACAGGUUUUUUGAAUGAAAAAUUUGUGAUCAGAUAUCCAAACCGACACAAUUUCACCGUUUUAAAGUUCAAGCAGGGGUAUUUGUCAUAAAAAUUGAAUCCUAAUCCUAGACCCUGCAAGCAAACGCGAGAAAAAAGAAAUGUCUAAUAUCUCAUAACCUUAACCAGAUAAAAAAACAAGCUUUUAUCGAGCGAACUCGAAUGUAGAUCGAUUUUAGCGUGGUUUGCUCUCAGUCUCCCUCUAUCAAAACUUUUCAGCAGGCGGAGCAUCAUAUAUUGAAUAAGCAUUUUCCAGAAGCCGACGGAGGCCCAAGGCCCAAACAACCAGGAGUCAAAAAAAGCCCGUCUCUUCCGGCACCCUAGUGGCUAGCGCGAGCGCCGCGGGUCUGUCUCCCCCUCUUCUCCCUCCCAGUCCCCAAUCCCGUUACUUUUCCCAUCUCAUCUCCCCGCCCGCCUCCGCCCAAAAAUCUAAACCCUAACCCUAACGCCGGCCAUGGCGCUCACUACACGCGGCGGCGGCGCCGGCGGCGGGGAUCCCGCGAAGGCGCCGUCCGCCUCCGACCCCAGCCUCGGCUUCCUCACCAAGCGCGACACCGAGGUCAAGCUGCCCCGCGCCACGCGGGUCAAGAACAAGACCCCCGCGCCGGUCCAGAUCACGGCGGAGCAGAUCCUCCGGGAGGCCCGGGAGCGGCAGGAGCCCGAGAUACGCCCGCCCAAGCAGAAGAUCACAGACACCCACGAGCUCGCCGAGUACCGCCUCCGCAAGCGGAAGGAGUUCGAGGACGUCAUCCGCCGCGUGCGGUGGAGCGUCUCGGCGUGGGUCAAGUACGCGCGGUGGGAGGAGCAGCAGCGGGACUUCGCGCGCGCGCGGUCCGUCUACGAGCGCGCGCUCGACGUCGCCCACCGCGACCACACGCUCUGGCUCAAGUAUGCCGAGUUCGAGAUGCGGAACCGGUUCGUCAACCACGCCAGGAACGUCUGGGACCGUGCGGUGUCGCUCCUCCCGCGGGUCGACCAGCUAUGGUACAAGUACAUCCACAUGGAGGAGCUGCUUGGCGCGGUUGCCAAUGCGCGCCAGGUGUUUGAGCGCUGGAUGGCGUGGCGACCUGACACAGCUGGGUGGAAUUCUUACAUCAAGUUUGAGCUGCGUUAUGGGGAGGUCGAGCGCGCCAGGGCUAUCUAUGAGCGGUUUGUAGCUGAGCAUCCACGGCCAGACACUUUCAUCCGCUAUGCUAAGUUUGAGAUGAAGCGUGGUGAAGUAGAGCGGGCACGACGGGUAUAUGAGCGUGCGGCGGACCUGCUUGCGGACGAUGAGGAUGCAGAGGUGCUGUUUGUGGCAUUUGCAGAGUUUGAGGAGAGGUGCCGGGAGGUUGAGCGUGCACGUGCUAUAUACAAACAUGCGCUGGACAGGGUACCGAAGGGUCGGGCUGAGGAACUGUACAGGAAGUUUCUGGCAUUUGAGAAGCAAUUUGGUGACCGUGAGGGGAUCGAGGAUGCCAUUGUGGGGAAGAGGAGAUUUCAGUAUGAGGAUGAGGUGAGGAAGAACCCACUAAACUAUGACUCAUGGUUUGAUUACAUCCGCCUGGAGGAGAGUGUUGGGAAUAAGGACAGGAUCAGGGAGGUUUAUGAGAGGGCCAUUGCUAAUGUGCCCCCUGCAGAGGAGAAGCGGUAUUGGCAGAGGUAUAUAUUCCUCUGGAUUAACUAUGCACUUUAUGAGGAGCUUGAUGCACAAGACAUGGAACGGACCAGGGAGGUUUACAAGGAAUGCCUGAAGUUGAUUCCACACAAGAAGUUCACGUUCGCAAAGAUAUGGCUCAUGGCAGCCCAGUUUGAGAUAAGACAGAGAAAUCUAAAGGCUGCUCGACAAAUUCUUGGAAAUGCAAUUGGAAUGGCCCCGAAGGGCAAGAUAUUUAAGAAAUAUAUUGAAAUCGAGCUGUAUCUUGGAAACUUUGACCGUUGUAGGACUCUUUACGAGAAAUACAUUGAAUGGUCCCCAGCAAACUGUUAUGCCUGGAGAAAGUAUGCUGAAUUGGAGAAGAACCUUAGUGAGACUGAUCGUGCUCGAUCAAUAUACGAACUUGCUAUUGCACAGCCAGCCCUUGAUACGCCAGAGGUUCUGUGGAAGGUAUGUUCUCUUGAUUAUGCACAUUUUAUGGGUAUGCAAUUGUUUUGUUAUUAUUCCUAAACUAACUGAUCAAGUAUAAAUGAUAUUGUAAUAACCUAUUAGCACUGCCCUAGUUACUAAAAUAAUCAGAACUCAUUUUGUAGUGAACUAUACAUUGCUCUUUAGGUGCUCAAAGAGCUACUGUUCUUUGGGUAAAAUAUGUUGUUGUACAUAUCCUGGAUUUGCUAAUAUGUUUGCAAACUUUUCUGCUGAAAGUUUGUGUCACUAUUUGGCCCUGCAGAAACACUUUUUUACUGUGCACUUGUAUUUUGGCCCCUAUUUCUCUGUAUAUUCCAUGGUUUUUAAAGUGGUAAGGAAAAGCAUGGCAAGCCACCCCUUCCAAUAGCAUACGUGAUGCCUAGGCACUUAUAAGGCCAGGCAAGGUGACGCCAUAUAAAUCUAAGAAACUGCAAAAUAGCUGAUGGACAAGAAGAAAAAAUGAAAAGGGAAAAAAGAAAGAUGGAAGAAGGAAUAAGAAGGGGCCUGGCCCAAUCUACCAGCCAGCCCACAUCCCUGGUGUGACCUACAUAUGCGGUUCCCCCGAUCCCAUCCAGGCCAACAGCGCUGCCGCUUCCCCUCCGCAUCUCGCGAGUCACACUCCCUCUCAGGCCUCUCACAUCCUGCUCUCUCUCUCUCCCUCUCUCCCUCUCCCUCCCUCUCUCCAGAUGUGUUGCUGCCGCUCGCAACUUCUCCUCCCUGCCGCUUCCCUUCCCUUUCCUCAUGCUCUGCACCCUCAGAUUGAACGCUGCUGCUGCCCCCUUCCAUAUCGACCAUGCCAUAGGUGAUGGGUGCAUGUUCCGCGCUGGCCACCAGCAUUAGAGCCGACGGGGGUGACACCGAUUGCAUGUUCUUGGUCUGGCUGGCUCACCCAUUCUUCCUCCUUUUUCCCUCCCUAACUCUCAUUUGCUGAUUUUUGUCAUGGCAACUGGGACAGCCAGAAUCCCAGUGCGCCUCAUAACCUAGACUUCCACGGUAUACCCUUCUGAGAUGAAUAAUCACAAAUGUUUGUACAGUUCAAUUGGCUGUUUGAUCGUUGCCCAAUAAUGUUUCAGAAUUCUAGCAUGAAUUUGUCACACCCAACACAUCUUUUAGUAGUUUUCUUAUUGAACAGGUAAGCAAUGCAUCUGACCAUGCAAAUUGUUCAGACAUUAAAAGCUUUGUAAGAUAUUAAUUGAUCAAUUCUUAUGUCAUGUCAUUAUGGUUAACCGCACAAUAUGCUUAUUUAGAGACUUUGAUCUUUAUUGGAUUAUGGAGAUCUGCACAUUUGGCUGCAACAUCCUAAAGUCAAUUUGCAUCUCAAGCUAAAAUGGGCAUGCUACAUUUUGUUUCUUUUUUACCAUUCGCAAACCUGAAUCCUAUUUAUUGUUGUCUUACCUGGGACCCAACUUUUUUGCUGUAAGAUUUGCAUCUAUUUAGUUCAGAUAUGUUCUCCUUUCAUAUUAUAUUCGUUACUAGAUGUCAUUCGAUGUAAUUUAGAAAAUAAUUUCAUCAAUUCUUCUACAUUGAAUCUAUGCUACCCAUUCUAGUUUAUGAAAGAAUAAGUUUUGCUCUGCCAUAUCACAGUCUUGGCAUUCCUUACCUUUUUCAUUACAAAAUAUGUUUGUUUUAUUUUCAUUUAUAAUCUUAUUAAGCACCAUUGCCCAGGGAUUUUGUAGUGGAUUUGUCUUUUGUGUAAACUUAUGUACAAUUUUCCUCAGUUUUCUUGGACUUUUCAGUAGGCUUACUGCUUGACAUUCAUACUACCAUAAAAGUGUUAGGUUAGUUUGUAGUGCAAGUAACUGAAAGCACCUGUGUUAUUGAUUUCUGUUGGACUUUUCUGCCUCAGUUUAUAAGAAGUAAACAGAAUAUAGUAGCAUUUAGCUUCAAAUAUCUGUCCUGAUAAUGCAUUUUCAAACUGUAUGGUUUUAGGUUAUGUUUAAAAAUUCCGCAAAUCUGGUAAUCUACUUGGUGCAGCAUGAGUUCUUAUCACUUUGACAUUUGAGACAUUCUGAAAAUUUCAGUUAAUUCUUUUUAAUUUUUUUACUAACUCAUUUAGUGCUGUUUAUUUCCUGUAGUACUUCUAAGUUUGUUUUAUAUAUUUUUUUUAUAUGGAUGCUUACCAACUCAUGUCCUGCUUUUCGACUCACAGGAGUACCUGCAAUUUGAAAUUGAUGAAAGUGAAUUUGGUAGGGCAAGGGAUCUAUAUGAAAGACUGCUUGAGAGAACAAAGCAUUUGAAGGUAUGGAUCAGUUUUGCUGAGUUCGAGGCCUCAGCUGGCUUGGGCAGUGAAGACAGCGAAAGUGAGGAGAAAAAGAGUGAAGUUGGUUAUCAGGAGCAGCAGAUGGAGCGGGUUAGCAAAUGUAGAGGUAAAUGAUGAGUUAGAGAAUCCUACUGGAUGUAUUUCUUUUGCAUUUAUUUACUCACCGCUAAGUAAAAAUAACACCUUUUAUGCUAUGAUGGUCAGCUAUCUUUGAAAGGGCAUUCGACUACUUCAGAACCAGUGCCCCAGAGUUGAAGGAGGAAAGAGCUAUGCUUCUUGAAGAAUGGCUUAGUAAGGAGUUGAGCUUCGGUGAUCUUGGUGAUGUCAGCUUAGUGCAGAAGAAGGCUCCAAGAAAAGUCAAGCGGAAGAGACCAAUCCCUACGGAAGAUGGAUCCACCAUAGCGUAUGCUCUUUACUCAGUUGUUCCUUUUUGCAUUUCUGUUUCAGAAAGUUUGCAUCUGCAUGUGUAGCUAUGUUAUGCAUUAGUCAGUAUCCACUAAAUUUUAAAUCAGGAAAAUAGCAAGCACAAAAUCUGUUGCCUUUUUCUCUUUCCUUUUGUUUUCUGGAUCUCUGGAAAUAUAUGUACUGACAUAACAUUUGCUUAAUCCUUCAGGUAUGAGGAGUAUAUAGAUUACAUUUUCCCUGAUGAAGUUGCUCAAGCACCAAACCUGAAGAUCCUAGAAGCUGCUUACAAAUGGAAGAAGCAGAAAACUGGCGAUGAUGAUGAGUGAUCUUGACAUCUGAGUGUGGCAUUGUCAUAUCUAUUUUGCGGCAGCCAAAAUCAGAUGUAAAGCAUAUGCAAUGCUGUGGAUAGAGUUACAAGAACGGGAAUGAUCAAUUUCUUGAUGUCACAGGUGCUAAGGAUGCUCUUGCUGUUGAAAAGAAUCCCGAGAAUCCCUUUAGUCUAAAACAGCACUGGGAUUUCCUUUGACGUGUGAUUGUUUUGGCAAAACUAGGGGGAAAAUGACCAUAUUCUUCUCGUAGGCACUUUUUGUAAAUCUUGUAAACUCACAAGUAGUGCUGUCAUAGUUUUUCCCAUCUGCUAUUCAUAUUGUAUCACUUUUUGUAUUCAAAUAUGUAUUUCCGCUGACCAAAAAAGAAGUGGUGGAAGGUUUAAGGCUGAGUUUUCUUAGUUCGAUUGUUAUCCACGAGAAUCCUUUUUUUUUUUUGAGAUCUUACUAGAAUUACUUAUACUUUUAUUAUUAAGGAACCUGCCAGGCAGGCCACUCUUUUUUUUUUUGGGGGAGUGCCAGGCAGCUUCCCCCUAGAUGGGCUUCAUGCGACCUCCUCGUCCUCUUCGUUUCUUAUGCGGGCCGCCUAGUUGGGCUUCCGGAUCUUCUUCCUUCGACCUGCCGCACGCCCGCACCCACACACCCACCGCAGCCGCGCUCGUCGUGGCAUUCCCGUCGGAGCGCCGGCGGUCGCCGCGCCGGGACAAUUCCAUCCAUGCUCGAUGAACUAAGGCACAUCCAUGGUCGGCAGCUUCCACUGCAGGUAGCAACCACCAUACACGCAUUCGUAUCAUGCACGGCCGCCGUCCGAUCGAUCAAUCAAUCCAUGGCCCGGCCUGGAGAUGCAAACAAAGCAUCGUGAUUGCGUUCUUGCCGGCCGGGCAGAGCAAUAGGCGCCUGGUACGUUGCGGGCGUGGCCAGGCCCGGGCCUUGGAUGGCGAUGGCACGGAAGUACGCUUGCUCAUGUUUCAGGUAGUGUUCGAGGUGCGCUGGCACAUGGGUAUGGCACCAUCGAUUCCAUUGCUGCUCGCUUUCUUGGAGGUUAUCAUUGCAUCGCGGCGACGCUGGAAGAAAAUUCAGGGACGGAGCCACUCAUCAAGGAUAGGGCCAGUCACUAGUAUAUAUCACCUCUUCAAUGUAAUUAAUGAGAAAAUGUUAACCUUGUAACUAAUUUAGCUUGAGAUAUGAGGGUAUAGAGCUGUGUUCUCACCCCCCCCCCCCAAUUGUUUCAGUGUUAGCUGCUGCUAGCGUGUUUGAUCAAGAAGAUAGGCAUGCCAUGAUGCCAUGCCACUGUGGUACGUGCUUUGCAUAUAUAACAUUAUGUAAUUUGUAAGUUCUUUUUUCCAUUAAUAAUUUAUAACGUACUAAAACAUCUUCUGUCACUACUGGAGAACGGACCUUUCAUCCACUUCAUUAGAACCGGUUGGAAUGAACUCGGUACUAAUGUGAGCAUUAGUACGGGGCAUAACGGCUAGUCCCUCCUUUAGUACCGGGUGGGGGCACCAACUGGUACUAAUGUGCAUCCUUUAGUACUGAUUGGUGCCCCCAAACGGUACUAAAUUUCCUUCUAUAAAUCCGUCUUCUUCUUCCUCCUGCUUGAGCCAUUCACCACAGCUCGAGGUUCAUCCUAUCCAUAGCGGCAUAGGGAAGGUGCUGCCGGAUUGAAGAUCAUCUCAUAAGGAUUUCACUCAUUCAAGUGUUCUAAAUGUUAGAAACUUCAUUCUCCCUUGAUACAUGGUUAGUAUACUAAGUUUUAACUUUAGAGCUAGAGUAAUUUGUCAUUUUUAGAAUAAGGUACAAUGGAGAAAAUUUUCAUUUAUAUGCAUGUGUUAUUUGGAGCUCAUAUUUGUUAUUUUUAGAAUAAACUACAUUUUUUUGGAUGCUAUAUUUUCGUAUUAGUCAAAGAAAUUGAUAUGAGGUUAGAGUAAUAAUUUCAUAGUUUAGUACUUUUUAAAUAUGAGCUAAAUAAAUUAUAUCAAAUGUUAGCGAGAUAAAUUGUGGUACAUAGAGAUAAUAAGAUGAAAUAGAGGUACGUAAUUAGUCAUUUUUAUAAUAAGCUACAAUGAAGAAAUUUUUCAUUUAUAUGUUAUGUUUGAGCUAAGUAAAUUGUGGGGAAAAUAUAGCAUUUGUUCAUAGUUUAGUCAUUUGUAAAUAUGAGCUAAAUAAAUUUUGGUACAUAGAGAUGGCUUCUGCUGCUGGAGGAAGUGGCGAUGGUGGGGGUGAUCGUCGUUCCUCUCGUGGUAAGGAAAAACCAUAGUUGGCCCUCAUGAUAAGUCGAAGAAAAUAAGCCCGUGGGAGAAAGCAAUGCUUCGUUAUUUGCAAAGAUGUCAUGAAGAUGUUGCGGCAGGUCAGGACCCUCCUUUUGGUGGUCGUUAUGCCCUACUGCCAUUCCUUGGUGUUUCAGGUCCACUUAGUACUACUGUUGCAGGAGGCACAAAUAAACCACAGGAUGAGGCUGGAUCAGUGAAACCUUCGUCUUCACCACCUAAGGAUGCUUAAAGUCCUCCUAGAUAGUACUCAGUGGAUGGUUUGUCGUAGUGUAUCAUGUUGUUUGGGUCUGGAAUUUAAAUUUGUGUAUUUCUAUCUAAAAUUUUAGCAACAUUUGAGUUUGUCGUAGUGAAUCAUGUUGUUUGGGUCUAAAAUUUAAAUUUGUGUAUUUCUAUCUAAACUUUCAACAACAUUUGAGUUUAAUGGUAUUUGUACCAUAUUUGUUAUAUUUCAUGUAUAAUUGUAUGGAUGAUUAGAAUAUCUUUGGUUCGGUAAUACUUUGUAGAUGAAUCGGCAAUGGAUGCACAACGCAGACAAACAAUCCAUGGAGUACAUUAAUAGCUUGCAUGAUUUUUUCGAUCUAGCAAAAUCCAACAAACCGUCGUCCAGUUUCAUUUAUUGUCCAUGCAGAAAUUGCAAAAAUGAGAAGGAUUACGCAUCCAGAAAAACUAUUCACGCCCACAUAUACAGUUUUGGAUUCAUGCCUAACUAUUUUGUUUGGACCAAGCACGGGAAAGAGGAGUCAUGAUGGAAGAUGAUGAUGAAAAUGAAAAUGACAACAUUCUUGACAAAAUUCAAGGAGGUGCCUUUGCAGAUGCUCCAAUGGGCGAGGCUGAAGAAGAGAUAGGCGAGGCAGAAGGUCCUACGAUGAUCUAGGUCAGGUGUUGCGAGAUGCAAAGCUAGACUAUGAGAAUGUGAAGGAGUCAAAAAAGUUUGAGCGUAUGUUAGAUGAUCAUAAGAAAUUAUUGUACCCAGAUUGUAAACAGGGGCACAACAAGUUGGGUACCACACUGGACAUGCUGCAAUAGAAGGCAAAAGAUGGAGUUUCUGACAAGGGUUUUGAUGAGUUAAUGAUAAUCAUAAAGAACAUGCUUCCCGAGGGGAACGAAUUGCCAUCCUCAACGUACGAAGCAAAAAAGGUUGUUUGUCCUCUGGGUUUGGAGGUACAAAAGAUACAUGCAUGUCCUAAUGAUUGUAUCCUCUAUCGCGGUGAGGAAUACGAGAAAUUGGAGGCUUGUCAGGUGGGCGAAGCGCUGCGUUAUAAGAUCAGAAGAGAUGACCCUUGGUGAUGUUGAGGGGUAGGCCAGCAAGAAGAAAGUCCCUGCGAAGGUAAUGUGGUAUUUCCCUGUAGUACCAUGGUUGAAGCAUUUGUUUAUAAAUAAGGUGCAUGCAAAGUUGAUGUAUUGGCACAAAGAAGAAUAUAAGCAAGAUGAAAUGAUUAGACACUCCACUGAUGGGUCCCAGUGGAGAACAGUUGAUAGAGAAUUUCCCGAGUUUGAAAAGGAUGCAAGGAACAUACGGUUUGGUUUAAGUACAGAUGGAUUCAAUCCAUUCGGUGAGUUCAGUAGUGGUCAUAGCACUUGGCCUGUGACCUUAUGUAUGUUCAACCUUCCGCCCUGGGUGUGCAUGAAGCGGAAGUUCAUUAUGAUGCCGGUAAUUAUCCAAGGCCCAAAACAACCUGGUAAUGAUAUUGAUGUUUACCUAAAACCGUUGGUUGAUGAACUUUUACUGUUAUGGAAGGAAGAAGGUGUACGUGUGUGGGAUGAAGACGAAAAGUAGACUUUUAAUCUACGAGCAUUGUUGUUCGUAACCAUCAAUGAUUGACCGGCGUAAUCUGUCCGGACAGUCAAACAAGGGAUAUCGAGCCUGCACACACUGUUUAGAUGAUACUUGCAGCAUGUAUUUGAAACAUUGUAGGAAUAUCGUGUAUACGGUGUCAGUGUUUAGACUCAACAACCUACCGAGGGGGUACCCAAGGUAGUGUUUUAUGCGUGGGGCUCGCUGAGAUCAGGAACUCGAUGGUGAACUCGAACACAUGAUUUAGACAGGUUCAGGCCGCUUAUACCGCGUAAUACCCUACGUCCUGUGUGUUAGUUGGAUUGUAUUGAUUGAAGUUGUUUGGAGAGGGUCCCUACCUCGCCUUAUAUUGCCGGGGGUGUUUACAAGAAUACUAGAUGAAUUUGACUAGAGAGUCCUAUUCUAAUUGCUAUGAGUAGCUUCCUAAUUCUCGACUAGUUCUUGUCCUCCAUGUAGACCACGCCAUCCUACACCAUAGUCUCCGUGUAUGACACAUCUCGGUGUACAGCCCCAUGUUGUAGGACUUUCCAAACUUUCUGGUGGGCCCAUAGAUGUAUGGCUGACAAGUCCCCGAGUAGUUUUUAGUCAAAUACAGCAGUCCCGAGUAGUUUUGUAGGCUUCUCCGACUAGUUUGUAGUAUUCUCUGAGUACUCCGUUGGAUCUCAGUCUUCAAACGUACUCGAGUACUGCCAUGUGGCAAUAAUGUGCUCAAACCUCAUUUAACUUGGUCUUGAAUCUUGAAUCUUGAAAUUUAUAUGGAAGUGCGAUGAAAAAUCGCCCUCCAUAUGGAGUAGCCCCCGAGCCUUGAAUCGAAAAAUCAGGCUGUGGUCAAUCUUGUAAUUUCACAUCUCUUUUACCUUAAAACCUAAAGAAAAAAGUUUUUAGCCAACGGGCACGUGGCAUGCAGCCCCCGAGCUGUUACACGACUAGUUUAGGUAUAAGGGUCAACCACCGGUCAACAUGACCGUUCGCCAACAGUAACCUUAUCCCUUCUGAGAAAAUUGAAAACUGCCAACAAUAAUUUCAGGCUUUUAAAAAUGAAAUAUUCUCGUUAAUCUUGCCCUUGUUUACUGCACUAUGGUUAUAAAUAACGGAGGAAUUUAUCCCUUCCAUUUCACCCAAGGCAUUGUGCCCGUUCAUCUUCCUCACUGUAGCCCUAGCCCCACCGUUUGCCAUUCUUGAGCUCGAUUGCCACCGUCUCGUCCAGCUUAGCCCUCGAGCGCAUGCGCAAGAAGACUCUCAUGGCAACACAAAUUGGUAAGAAAGUGUCAUCCAGUAAGGCAGUGGAGACCAAGAAGAGGAAGGCUGUGAAGAAGGAGAAGGAAAUCCAAUUACCGGCACCGAAUUAUGGCAAGACGGACCAAACGGCUCCGCCCAACCAAGCCUACACCUGGAAGAAGUCCAUGAUGAAGGAGGCGGACAUCUAGACAUUGGUGGAUGCUAAUCUUCUCCAGGAGCAGGACUUCAUCUACUGGAGGGAGGCCUACGGCAACCCAUGGCCCAUGGAGAGCUUCUCUAAUGAGGCAGUCAUUUUUGCGCACUUCAUUGAGCACGAUCUGGCUCUCCCUUCGUCUGACUUCUUCAGGGGAUUAUUGAGGUACUACAACCUGGAGUUAAUCCACCUCAACCCCAAUUUAAUCCUGCACGUCGCUAUUUUUGUGCACUUGUGCGAAGCUUUUCUUGGCAUUCAGCGCCACUUCCAGCCGUUUAGGAAGUUCUUUAGAGUCAAGCCCUAGCCUAGAAUGGAUCACACCGAAGUAGUUCGGGGGGCAGGGAUCCAACUGCAGGAGCAAGUAAAAGGCCUGUACUUGGAUUACGAACUCAUAGACUCCCACUCAGGCUGGAAGCAACGAUGGUUCUACAUUAGAAAUCACGAGCCCUAUCUUCCCAAGGUGACCGGCCACCGUCCAGUCUGGAACAACCAAUGGUUGGACGAAUCGAGUACCGUAGAUGGCUUCCAGCUACCAGAGCUGCUUGAGAAGAUCUCCGUGAUCAAGAGGGAAGGUCUGACAUGCAUCGGCGUGGCCUUCAACUUCAUAAGGAGGCGAGUCCAACCCCUGUAGCUGCGUUGCACAUGGGGGUAUGACUACUCAGGUCCCAAUGACCCAUCGUAUGAUGUCGUAGGACUUGUCCAUGGAUGAAGUGAUGGCGCGGCUGAAGCGCUUCUUCAAGCACGCCAGGGGCAUUCCAACGAUUGUGCGAGAACGCUGCGCCGCCAACCUGCCAAACUAAGUAAGUACCCGUGCCCUACAGCCCCCGAGUACUAAUUUGGCGUCUAUCAAUUUACUGACUUGUCUUUUGUUUGCAGGAAGAGCUUCAAUUGCAUUGCUUCAUCCCUCCUCCACCUAGGUCAGAUGGUCCGCGUGUACAGGCAUACAGAAGGCAAUUGAGGAGGAGGAGGAAGAGGAAGAAUCGAAUGGUUGGUCCUCCUUCAGCAGCUCUGAUUCAGAGGCUGUUGAAAAAUUUGUUGUCAAGCCCCAAUAGUCAGACAAUGUGUGUCAUCUUCUGGUACAUCCAAGCAUAAAGUAGAGGAUGAUCUGGAAGCCGAAUUGGCACCACCCUCGAAGAGGGCGCGUACUGCCACCGUGAAGCGGGUGGUGAAGAAGUUGUCGUCCGCCGAUGAAGUCGUGCAGCAGGAGGUGCUGACGAUAAAGGAGGUCGAGGAGCCUCCUGUUGACAUGUCCAACCCUGUGAUGGCGUAGACUACUCAAGGAGUGGAGACGACAGCCAAGGCUGGCGAGGAUCAAGCUGCGAUCCAGGGAGCCGCGUCGAAGAAGCCGUCGCCCACAGUCAAGUCCCUGCGCCUGGGGGCAGAGCCCACCUUGAAGAUAAGGCGGUUCACAAAGUAAGUACCCGAGUACUAAUUGUGAAUUGUUGUUAGAUUGUGAUGUGUCGUGACACUUAUCUGUUUCAGGAAAUCCACCAGCGUGGACAUUGGAGGCUCGAGCCCGAAGUCCGCGGGUGAUGGUAGUAUUCGCUCAGCCGAAGACCUCAUCCCGGUGCCUUCAAUUCCACCACCAGAGGAGCAGCAGGUGCCAGAAGUAGCCCUAGGUGUUGUAUUCUCUGUCAAGCUAGAGGCGGAGACCGAGACAGUGGUGGCGAUUGUUACUGGAGUCGAAGCUACUCUUGUAGCCCCUGAGCCCAAAGCUGAAGUCAAAGCUGCCGGCGCGCUAUAAGUGUUGGCCGCCAUCCCAUCUUCUGAGGUAGGACCGUCGACAGUUGCAGCGCGGUCCCCCUCAUGUCUUCGAAAGCUGGUCCAUCGAUUAGCCGGGUGCUGGUCCCUCUCGGUGUGCCGAAUGCUGGAGGGCAGGAGAAGCAUGAAGAAACUUGGAUUGCUCCCGGGGUGGACUUGGAGAAGAUCCAACUCCUUGCUUACCCUCUGACCACCAUAGAAAUGGAGGUCACGGUCAUGGAGAUGCAUCACCGUGUAGGCGAGUUCAUAGAGGCAAGCAUUACCUCUACACUAGUCUUCAACUUGAAAUCAGUACUCAUUACUUACACGAGUAUUUGCUCUGUUUUGCAAAAAUUAAUCGAGCGCACCUGCUGGAAAUCAAAGAUGCUCCAAGGCUAUGGAGACACUAUCAUACGGGCUAUGGAGUUGGCCAAGGAGCGAUAGUACUCCUCCCAGCUACUCAUGAAGUACGAUGGCCAAGCUGCCGAGUACCAAAAUCUCAUGCAGAAAGCCACGGAGGAGAAGGAUCACCUUCGGAAGCGCAUCAAGGGAUUGAAGAAUCGAUUGGAAGGUUAGCUAUCACCUCCCGCUGGUCUUCGAGUACCAUUUUGCAAUUGAUAUUUUUGACUUGCUCUUUAUGUUGCUCUUGUAGUGCUGACCAGAGAAAAAAAGGAUCUCCAGGUUAGUGUCAUAGACUGGCAGAACUCGUAUUACCGAGUGAUGGAUCAACACGACAAGCUGUCCUCUAUGUACGAGACUCUGGAGAACAAGCUUGAGAAGGAAAAGAAGUUGCGCGUCGAUGGAGAAGUUUAAUUGGUCGAUAUUAUGACAAAACUCUGAGCGUAAGAGGCUAAGUUGGCGGCAACAAAACUUUCUCUAAAGGAGCUAUCAGAGGCCACUCAGCCCAUUGCCAACAUGGUGGAGCCCCUGGCCGAAGGCGUGGAGCCCCGUCCCUUGGCGGAGGUACUCAAGGAUGUUCCUGGGAAGAUCACUGGCUACAUCCAGAAGAUGGUAGAGUCCGUCUCGAAGCAACUAUUGGCGAUGGUGAAGUCUUUCUACCUGCAGGCCAACUUAGCUCCUGUUGAGGAGGGGAUUACGAAAGAGUGCACUGAUGAGCAAUUCCAACAGUAUCUGGAAGAAAUGGCUCCCAUCGCUAAGGAAGCAGCCGGCCAGAUAGACCUUGAGUAGUUGUAAUGGAAAAACAUGAAGUUAUUGUAAUAUAAACAAGUCAUAAAAUGAAAUGUAAAUUAUUUGAAGUCUUGUCACAAUUUCUAGCGCUUGUCGACUUGUUUGGAUUCUUCUGUUUUAGUGCAUCUCCCGAACUAGCGUGGUAAUUGCUCAUGCAGUAGUCGAGAGUGUCAGCGCAAGGCUACUCUUGUGAGCCUCUUCAGAUACACGAUGUAGAGUACACUUAGGCUGCGACCACUUUCUGUGGAGUGCAAGUACCUGGGUAUCUGGGUAGUCAGACUCUUUGAAUGAGUAGACUCUUUAGGACUUCGUUAUCUGGAGGAUACCUUUGCAACCUCCCUGGGUUGUUCGGGUGUUGUGCUCCGAAGGUCUGGAACUACAAACUUGUUUAUUACAAGUUGCGACUAGACGGAUUUGUCUAGAUAAGAACUCGGGUAGCAUAGAUAACUCCCAAGUCACUUGACGACUUUUUUUUUGUGAAAGCCAUCGAUGGACAUACUUGUCGUAGGAGCUGACUAGUUCAUUUUUGUGAGUGCAGGCUUGCCCUUGCAAGUUGUUGUUUGUCCAACGAGUUAAAUAACCCAAAAGAUAUAUGUGCAGACUUGUUAUUACAAGCUGUAUGUGGAUGAUUUUUAUCCAAAUGAGUUGAAUAACUCAAAAAUAUCUAUGUAGACUUUUGAAUACAAGCUGCGAGUUGGGGUGAUAGUACUCGUGAGAGCUAAAUAGCUUGGUGAUUUUGCUUUUGUGAGUCGCAAUCAGGCAGAGACUAGUUGUUUUAUGACACAAAAGAAUGCUGCUUUAUUAAAUUGUAAUUAUACAACUGAGGCCGAUGGCCAAUUUACAUGAUUAUAAACUAUGGGUAGAACAUAGGUACUCAAUGUUCCACGAGUUUCAACUUCUUUACCAAUGAGAGUUUCUAGCCUAUACAACCCUGGUCCAGUGACCUUAGAGACGAUGAAAGGACCCUCCCAUGGCGAAUUUAGCUUGUGCAACCCCUUGGUUUCUUGGAUACGCUUGAGGACCAUGUCGUCUGUGUUGAAUGAACGUUCUUUGAUGUUGCGAUCAUGAUAGUGGAGAAUUCCUUCAAGGUACCUUGCUGACUGGAUGAAUGUUGCGCAACGAGCUUUUUCGAGACUGUAUAAGUCUAGACACCUUAUUUCUUCUACCGCACCCUCCUUGUAUUGCUCGACUUCUGGAGAUUUUCAUAGGACGUCGACGGGGAGGAUAGCUUCUGAUCUGUAGACUAGGAAGUAGGGUGAGUAACUUGUAGGCUUGCACGGCUGUGUGCGAAGCCCCCAGAGGACAUUGGGUAGCUCCUUGAGCCCCUUGCCGCCCUUGGUGUUUCCGAUGUUGUGUAGUCUUUUGUUGAGAGCUUCUAGUAACAUCCCGUUAGCGCGCUCAACUUGGCAGUUGGCCCAUGGAUGAGCGAUAUAGAUGUACUGGACGUUGAUCCCGCUGUGCCCACAGUACUCCCAGAACUUGUGAUUGUUGAAAUUUGAGGCCAGGUCUGUGAUGAUACGAUUGGGAAAGCCGUAGCGAUGGACAAUCUCAUUGAGGAAGUUGAGUACUCUGUCUGCUUUGGGACAGGUCACCGGCUUUACCUCGAUCCACUUGGUUAACUUGUCGAUCGUCACGAUUACUCGAUUGAAGCCCCCAGGCACCGUAGGUAGAGGGCCAAUCAUGUCUAGCCUCCAGCAUGUGAAUGGCUAGAAGGGUGGUAUUGUUAUCAACUUGUAGGCAGGGAUGUGUUGUUGCUUGGUGAUGAAUUGACACCCUUGGCAUCGGCGAACUAGUUCUUUGGCGUCAGCAAGAGCUGUAGGCUAGUAGAAUCCUGCUUUGAAAGCCUUGCCCAUGAUCGUUCUUGAAGAUGCGUGGUUUCUGAGAUGCCCUUGUGGAUCUGUUCCAGUAUGUCCUUGCCAUCUUGUCGUGAGACACACUUCAUGAGUACUCCUGAUGAUGUGCCUCAUCUAUAGAGUUUGUCCCCGACUAGAACGUAGUUCUUGCCGCACCGCAAGACUUGCUCUGCUUCUAUCGUGUCGGGAGGUAACUUGUGCUCUUUAAUGUAGUUGAUGAAGGGGAUUCUCCAGUCUGCAUCGAUCAUCAUAACUCCCCGGUCUGGUACAUCAUGACCUCAAUCGGUGGUUUUUGAUUGUGCCGGCUUCACUAUGGAUGGCUUGUGUAGUUCAUGGACGAAGACCUGAGCCGGAACUUGAGCACGAGUAGAUCCGAGCUUGGACAAGACGUCUACGGCUACGUUGUUGUCACAAGCCACGUGAUGGAACUCUAGACCAGAGAACUUGUUCUCUAGCUUGCGUACUUCGAGGCAAUACACGUCCAUAUUAUCCUUGUGGCAAUCCCACUCGUCAUUGACUCGAUUUAUGACCACCAGUGAGUCGCCAUAGACUAACAACCGCUUGAUUCCUAGCGAGAUUGCCAAGCGGAGGCUGUGCAGAAGCGCUUCGUAUUCAACUUCAUUGUUGGAGACCUCCUAGAAGGUUUGCAACACAUAUUUGAGUUGGUCACCUUUGGGAGAGAUUAAGAGUACUCCUGCGCCAAUGCCCUCGAGCUUGAUUGAUCCAUCAAAGUACAUGAACCAAUGCUCUGGGCGUUCUGUCGGUGUGGGUACUUGAUUUUCCUGCCACUCUACCAUGAAAUCGACUAGUGCUUGCGACGUGAUGGCAUUCCUUGACUUGAAUUCUAGGGACAAGGCUCCGAGUUCUACUACCCACUUGGAGAUUUUUCCUGUCGCAUCUUGAUUGUGGAGGAUUUCUCCUAAGGGGAAGUUUGUGACAACGAAGAUGUUGUGCUCAUGGAAGUAGUGGUGUAGCUUCUGUGAGGUGAGUAGUACUGCAUAUAGCAGCUUUUGAACUAGCGGGUACCGGGUUUUGGAACCCAACAACACCUCACUGACAAAGUAGACAGGCCUCUGUACUUUGUAUACAUGGCCAGGUUCCAGUCUUACAACCACGAUCGCCAUGCUGAUGACAUUAGUAGUCGCGGUGAUGUAGAGUAGCAAAUUUUCAUUGGGAGUAGGCACCGUGAGGACCGGUGGCUUUGAUAGGAAGUCCUUCAGCUAUUGAAGGGCUUAAUCUGUCUCCUCGGUCCACUAGAAUUUAUCUUGCCGCUUGAGUAGUUUGAAGAAAGGUAGUCCCCGCUCCCUAAGUCUUGAGAUGAAUCUGUUGAGGGCCACCAUACAUCCAGUCAGCUUUUGAACGUCCUUGAUGCACGAUGGGGCGCACAAAUUUGUGAUGGCGGCGAUCUUCUUGGGAUUAGCCUCGAUUCCUUGAUGACUAAUGAUGAACCCUAGUAGUUUUUCGGAGGGUACACCGAACACGUAUUUUGUUGGAUUUAUUUUCCACUGGAAGCUUCGUAGGCUUGCAGAGGUUUUUUCUAGAUCCGCAAUCAAGUCAUCAGGAUUUUUGGUCUUUACGAUCACGUCAUCCAUGUACACCUCUAUGUUGCGGUGUAGUUAUUUCUUGAAGCACUCCUGGAUGGUUUGUUGGUAUGUGGCCCCUGCAUUCUUCAAGCCGAAGGACAUUUUAGUCUAGCAGAAAGCUCCAUACGGGGUGAUGAACGAGGUCUUGAUCUGGUCUUCUUCCUUGAGAGCUAUCUUAUGAUAUCUCGAGUAGAAAUUAAGGAAACGGAGUAGAGCACAUCCAGCCGUCGAGUUGAUGACUUGAUCAAUCCUAGGGAGCCCGAAGGGAUCCUUUGGACAAUGCUUGUUGAGGUCCGUGUAGUCAACACACAUCCUUCACUCGCUGUUGUUCUUCUUUCGUACCAAGACAGGAUUAGCCAGCCUAUCUGGAUGAUUAACUUCUUUUAUGAAGCCGAUCGCGAGUAGUUUGGCCAACUCUUUUUUGAUUGCAUCUCUUCUGUCUUGGGCGAAUCGACGUAGUCAUUGUCGCUUUGGCGUAGCGUUGGGAUCCACGUUUAGUGAGUGCUCGAUCAACUCCUUGGGCACCCCUGGCAUAUUGGAUGGCUUUCAUGCAAAGAUGUCUUAGUUGGGCUGAAGGAAGCUGACAAGCGCAUCUUCCUAUUUUCAAGUCCAGUCCUAAGCUAAUCAGGGCUGUCUUGGAGCUAUUGCCAGUCUCGAGGUCGAUGGCUUUGAUAUCGACUUCACUUGUUGGCUUGACCUUGGUUGCCCUCGACUUCUUCUCUGGGAUCUCGAGUUCUGUCGGGUACAAUUUUUUGGAGGCAGCGAAGACUUGCAUCAUUGAAUUGGCCACUUGAGUAAUCGCUGCCAACUCUAUGGCUUCUGUGUCGCAGUCGUAGGAUCUUUUCAAGUCUCUGCGUAGGGAGAGCACUCCCUUGCGUCCUGGCAUUUUGAGUACCAAGUACACGUAAUGUGGGAUGACCAUGAACUUGGCCAGUGCAAGUCUUCCAAGGAUAGCGUGAUACGAAAUUUCAAAAUCGGCUACCUCCAAUCGGAUGUACUCUGUCCGGUAGUGGUACUUGGUUCCGAAGGUAACUGGCAAAACCACCUGACCAAGGGGUACAACCGUGUUGCCUAAGACAAUCCCGUAGAACGAAGAGUUUUUGGGGUGAGCAUAUCCAUAACAUUAGGUCCAUCUUCCUCAAAGUCUUGGCGAAGAGUACGUUGAGACCACUGCAGCCAUCGAUGAGGACCUUGGUGAGUCGAGAGCCUACGACUACUGGAUCUAAGACGAGAGGGUAGCAUUCCGGGUCUGAGAAAUUAGUCCACUGAUCCUGCCUUAAGAAGGUGAUUGGCACCUCGGACCAUUUGAGGAAUAUAGGCGCUGCUGGUUCAAUGGACAUGAUCUCUUGGAGGGCUAGUUUCUGGGACCGCUUUAUGGUAGUACCCGGUGUGCCGUCGAAGAUGACGUUGAUGGUGUUGGAUGGGUUCUGGAACUUGCUGUUGUCGUCGUUGUCUUCGUCUUCUUUGGCCUUGCACUGUCCUUUGCUCCAGAAGGUUCUGGCAGAUCUUUCAUGACUCUGCGAAGGCUAUAGCAAACCAUCGCAGAAUGCUUAGAGUGUGGGUGCCAUGGGCACUGUUUUUCAUGAGCUCUUUGAAUGGAGUCCUUUCUUGAUUUCCGCCACCUUUCUUGGAAGACUGGACAUCACUGUGACAGUAUUGUCUGGCUUUCUUUUGUGAUUUCAACUACCCGAGUAGUUGCCUCGGUUGUCAUUGCGGCGAUCGUUGUGAUUCUUGUCGUUGCGUUGGACAUUGCUUUGAUUGUUGUUGUUUUGGCCUCUGGUACGAAUAGACUAAAACCGCUGAUCUCUUUAUCUUUUUCAUCUGCCCAGACUUGUAUUAUAAUCUUGAGAUACUUGAUAUCUUCUAGGCGUCUUCUGCCAAAGUCUUGGAACAUCCGACGAUCGUAGAGACCGUUCUGGAAGCAAUCUAUGUCAUGCUGUUCCGUGAUGUCCACGUAGGGUCUUACCUUGUUGCUGUUUGACUUGAGACAAGUCGAUCCUAUUGCCAGGAUGUUGCAUUGCCCCUGCUUAGUUGUUUGUGAAUGCCGUCUUUAGUUGACUCCAUCUGUCAAUGGAGUUUCCUUUUAGAGAUUUGAGCCAUGUGAGUGGCCCUGUCUCCAUGCAGAUGGGGAAGUAGAUGACUUUAGUGUCAUCGUUUCCUCCCGCCGCCUGGACUAACAGCGAGUAGCACCUCAACCAUUGGAUUGGGUCUUGUUUACCAUCGUACUUGGUAAUACCCGGAGGUUUGAACUUGUCGGGUAGAACUUUCGUACUCAUUUUGAGAAAGCGGGAAACUCGUCAAAAUAUUCUCCCGAAUACUCAACUUCUUGCUCGCGCUUGUGGCGGUGACCUUCGAUAAUGUUACAAGCAUUGUGACUUUUGUUGAUCUUAUGACAGAGGUCAUGUACUGGGCGUUCAGGCUCUGGAUAGGGCCUAAAGUGGCCACGACCUCUCGAGGGUUCCACCCGACUACUUUCUGCCAUGUGCUGACUGGUCCAGGUUUCUCAAUUCUGGGUACUUUGUUUCGACUUCGUUAAGCAUCCUCAUUUCAACUUGGUCUGCUACCCUCAUUGCAACUUGGUCUGGCGCUACUAUUGUGAUGGGAUGAGGUGCAUCGAACUAAGUGUAUCAGACUUUGUUGAUCAAGUUGCUCGUAUGCAUGCUCCACUAGUAGAGCCAGUUGCUUGGUAUACUUGGUUUGUGGCAAUGCCCGAGUAAUCAGAUCAAUGGAAGCGAUGGUGGCGAGAGGAGUAUGGUGAUGAUGCGAUUGAACUGCUUCAAGAGCGUGAUCCAUAUUCAUGAUGGGUAGUUCGUUUGCAAGGUGGCGAUGACAUCUGCCCAUUGCAGCGUUUCUUGCCCGCCGUCAAUUCCUCUAUGAUUCAAUAUCUUCUCCUUCCAUGUUGGUGGUGAAUUCAUCCUUUGAGAUGUCAUCUGGGUGACGUUCGUGUCGCAGAUUCCUCUCUAGUGGCUCUUCUCCGUUGCCUUCUUGUGCGACAACGAUGAUGAGUAGUUCUCGCUUAGGAGAAAAACUAUUGGAACUUGAUGUAAUGACCUCUGUGGAGCCAUCUUCUUCGUAGAUAGGUGAUAGAGGUUUUCCCUCCUGGUAUGGAAGGUUGUCAAGAUAGGCAACGAGGUGUGACUCGUCAUCCUUGGCGAGAGAAGGUGGCUUCAUGUUGGGCCAGUAGAUGAAUCUGCCUUGCGGAGUGGAUGUGAUAACCAGACCCUGCUGUGGACCUGAUAAAGGAGUCUCCUCAUUCGGAUCCGAGUAGUAGUCGGGAUCCUCGAUCAAAUCCGAGUUGAAUUGUGAUCUGGACAGGUUGCCUUGGUAGACAACACCCGAGCUUCAGAGUCCGAUUAGGAAUCGACUUGUAUCGUAGACCGAUUCGCACGAUGUCUUAAGCGCCAGCUCGUGGGAACCAGUCCGAUUAGUGGGAGAAGUCAAAUUGUACUCGGGCUCGUCCCUUGAGCCUCGGAAGAGGUUGAAAAUUUCGUUGAAUUUUUCAACAAAGUCUUCCAGAGCUUGGCGAUGAAGGUUGAUGUCCUACUGCUUCUCCUCCAAGGCCGGUGCGAUAUGGUGGUGGAAAUUUCUAGCGCCGUUUGUGACGCAAACCUAGGAGCCGAAGACGAACGUCGCACCUGCUUCGGAUGUGAUGGUAGGCUUGAUGAUGACUUUAGCUAUCGAGUUCCCCAGUGGAUCUUUAGUGAGAUCCCCUACCUGGCACACUAGCUGUCGGUGUUUAGAACUAGCAACCUAACGAGGGGGGGUACCUGAAGUAGUAUUUUAUACACGGGGCUUGCCGAGAUCAAGAACUCAAUGGUGAACUUGAACACACGAUUUAGAUAGGUUUGGGCCGCAUAUGCCGCGUAAUACUCUACGUCCUGUGUGUUGGUUAGAUUGUAUUGAUUGAAGUUGUUUGGAGGGGGUCCCUGCCUCGCUUUAUAUUGCCGGGGUUAGGGUUACAGGUCGGUUGUUUCAAACAAUACUAGUCGGAUUCGACUAGAGAGUCCUACUCUAAUUGCUACGAGUUGCUUCCUAAUCCUCGACUAGUUCCUGUCCUCCACAUAGACCAUGUCAUCCUGCAGCGUAGUCUCCAUGUCUGACACGUCUCGGUGUACAACCCCGUAUUGUAGGACUAUCCAAACCUUCUGGUGGGCCCAUAGAUGUAUGGCCGACAUACGGGUCAACGUUGAUUUCUUCCUACUAGGACUCAUUCCAUGUAAUCCUACUAGGACUACUCCUUGUAACCGACUAGUUAUCCCGCCCCCUGGAGUAUAUAAAAGAGGGUACCUAGACCGGCAGAACCAUCAUCAACAGCCAACAACUAGGCUACUCAACACCCAAGCGUAGGGCGCAAUACACAACACCCCAAACAGGAUGUAGGGUAUUACGCUACUCCGACGGCUCGAACCUGUAUAAAUCCGUGUCUUGUGUCUUCGCUUUUACCUUCGAGUUCCAGGUCCAGCGAUCCCCCAUCGACAAAUUGACUACCUCGGUUACUCCCUCGGUAGGUUGCCGGGUAUAAAAUACCGACAGCUGGCGCGCCAGGUAGGGGUGAUCGUCGAGAUCAUCGGGCGAGCCUAAAGGACCUUAUCAUCAAGAUCAAUUUACUUUGGGUGACAAAGUUGUUGUUCUGCAUCAUCUGACUGGUGACUUGCUUUUGUUCAAAACUGAAGUCACCGAGUUGGAUUUCGGAGAACGAAUCGAUCCGCCAGAAGUAUUCCAAGCAUCAUGAUCGAGGUGGAAUCAAAUUUGGUCACACUCCAUCCGACCAGCUCAGCAAGGACGUUCAGUGGCAGCCAGAGCCAAUUUUGGAAUUUGAGUCCGAAGCGGAGCUUCACCACUGCACCCAUUGACUUGCCUCACUGUUGAAGACCUUUUCCUCGUGUCGAUGCUGAUAAAGAAAAGAUAAAAAGCAAAGCAAACCACGGAAUCCAGAAGAGCCAGAGUAGCUCGUUGUUCCAUGAUUCUCGUCCAAUUAAUGUGCUACUUCUAAGUGCACACGGAAGAUGUACAUGCAAGCAUUAAGCUCCUAGCUAAACGGCAAGCUCACAAGCUACGACUACUUCAACUUCACGAGGGCGCUCGGCGACCCGCCGACGUCUACUUCAACUACUCUUCUCAAACUACUCCGACGAAUGUCAGCCUCGACUACAUCAACCUCCGGCCGCAUCGACUCAUCGACCACUACGUCGACUACUCGUCGCGACUACUUGGACUACUCUUCUUGACUACUUCGACGGGUGACUCACUGACGACUACUCUGACUAUGUCAUGAUGCUUGCCGAUGACUACUCCGACUAGAUCAUGACACUCGCCGACGACUACUCCAACUCCUCGUUUCGACUAGAAAAUUAGUUGGGGCAAACCUCACACCGUCAAUGACUAGUUGAAAUUGACUCUGACUAGUCAGCUUCAUCAACAACCAUCAUGAUUUCAUCAACGACCGCCACGGCUUCGUUGUCAAUCAUCCAUGAAUCAAGGUAAGUCACUUUUCUUAUUAUUUUUCGGCUUGUCUUCUGCAUGCAGGGCAACAUGUCGACUAAUUAUUUGUGUACGCCUCUUGACAGGAAUUACCCUACAGAGCUACACUUUGCCGGCUCUUGCGCAUAAUACGUGCUCUACUCGCCGGAGGGCAGCAAACUCUUUCAUGUAACCGUGCUAUCUUUUUGUCGCAAUGCUGACUACUUUUGUCUUCUCUUAGCCAUUAAUAAUCUCCUUGAGUAGAAUACGCCUUCAUUCGUGAAAGCCUUAGGUGCACCUGUUACACCUAAGUGCCAGCAUACAUACACGAGACAAAGAUCUCAGCUGUGCAAAUGGUAGUGCCCGUACGCGUAUAUGAGACAGAGAUCUAACAUACGCAGUGGCUGCAACUAAACGGGGACUAAGAGCCUAAACGUAACAGGCUAACUACUCAGGAGAGAUAUGGUAAAAAUAAGAGCAUGACACACAAUAUUUUGUUAUCACUGAAUAAAUUUCAGUAAGUUCAAUAUUCUACAAAUAUGCUACAUAAUGUACGCAUCUUUUCUUUCAGAUCAAACUUCGGUGACGACGCUCCAAGACGCUAAGCGUACCUCCAAAGGUACAGACUAGUUAUCAACUCGGGGGCUAAGCGCCAAUUACUACUCGAGAUAUCUCCAAUGACUCAGCUAGCUUCCAAGCUUGGGGGCUAAGGGCCAAUAACUACUCGAUGUGGCUCCUACGGCUCACUUGGCGCAUAAGCUCGAGGGCUGGACGCUGCAAGACUACUUGAAUGAUGACUUGAGUGAAGAUUCAAGAUCCUUGAGUUGAUUAUUCAAUCAAUUCAAGGCUCGGGGCUGAUAAGCUACACCCAAUAUUUUUUCAAGCCGAAGGAGAAGAUUCAAGAUUUUGACCCUCAGGCUAAUUCUACGAUUCAACCUAAGGCUCAAGGGCUACUUCAUAUCGAGUGUGACUUUUGCCACCCUCCAUAUAUGAAGACUACAAUAUCAAGAUGAUCAAGGCUUUGAGCACACCACAGCCUCAUGGUAGCUUUGAGAAACAUUGAAGAUUCAGCCAGAUAAAGUACUCGAAGACUACCAAAACUACUUGACGAAGAUCAUAAAACUACUCAAAGACUGCUGCAUUCGAGUAUGAAGCACUCGGGGGCUUGUCGGGGAUAGAUCCCCAGUACCCGAAAAGAAGGAAGAAGUCGGACUCCUACUAUGAUUCCCUUGUAAUCCUACUAGGACUCAUCCCAUGUAAUCCUUCUAGGACUCCUUGUAACCGACUAGUUAUCCCGCCCCCCUAGAGUAUAUAAAGGAGGGCGAGGGUACCUAGAUCGGCAUAACCAUCAUCAAUAGCCAACAACUAGGCUACUCAACACCCAAGCACAGGGCGCAAUACACAACAUCCCAAACAGGACAUAGGGUAUUACACUACUCCAGCACCCCGAACCUAUAUAAAUCUGUGUCUGGUGUCUUCGCUUUUACCCUUGAGUUCCAGGUCCAGCGAUCUCCCACUGACAAAUCGACUACCUCGGGUACUCCCUCGGUAGGUUGCUGGGUAUGAAACACCGACAGGGAGACUAAAGGGAAAGGGCACACUAGGGAGGAAAGCUCGGAUGGACAUCGAUGAGGAUACGUUUCGUAAAGCACACUUCAUGGUCCUGCAAAAAUCAUCCCUGGUCACUCCAUAUAUGGAGGAGCACAAGUCUAGUGUACAGUCCUCAAACCAAGGGAAGACCUAGGCCUGGAUUACACGUCAUCAUAUUGACACUUUCGCCUCUUGGUUGCGGGGACAACUGAUGGGUGAUGACACGAUUGAAGAACAACUAGCAUGGUUGGCUAGGGUCCAUCUAUCUCAGUAUUGAUAUUACAAGGAUACGAGAUCAAUGGGUACACAUUUUACACGAGAGCCUAAGACCAAAAGAGCACAAACCAAAAUAGUGGUGUCCGUAUAGAUGCAAUAGAAAAUAAUGGAAAAAAAGACAGAUACUAUGGUGUCAUUGAGGAGAUAUGGGAACUGGACUAUGGACCUUUAAAAAUCCCUCUGUUUCAGUCCCAAUGGGUGAAACUUACUAGAGGAGGCAUAACGACAGAACACUAUGGGAUAACAAUAGUGGACCUCAACGAGAUUGGAUAUAGAGAUGAACCAUUCAUCCUAGCCAAUGAUGUGACUUAAGUUUUCUAUGUGAAGGACAUGUCAAGCAAACCAAUAAGGAAGGGUGCAAAUAAGUCAGAUGACCAGCCAAAGUACCACAUAGUUCUUCCAAAGAAAAGAAAAAUCAUUGGAGUUGAGUACAAGACUGACAUUUCAGAAGAUUAUGAUCAGUUCGAUGAUCUUCCUCCAUUUUCAAUCGAGGUUGACCCAAGCAUCCUGUUAGAUAAAAAGGAUGCUCCAUACUUUUGCCACGAUCACAACCAAGGGACGUUCAUCAAGAGGAAGGUUAUUAAUGUUCCACUAAAUGAUGUUGUGUAAUGUAUUAUAACCAUUAUAUAUGUUGUGUUUUGUGGUUAUCAACAAAGGAACAAAGUAAUGUAAUAAUGCAUUGUGAUGAUAUGUCAUGUAUCUGCGUUGGGUUUAUUAACAAUACUAUUUGCAAAAAUCUCACCCUAUUAAACAAGAACUAAUUUUUGCAUGGUUAAAAUAUUAAAUAUUUCAAUUUUUUGUAGCACCAUUAAAUAUUAAAUAAUAAAUUUACGUACAAUUAAACAAGUACAUGAUUAAAUCAUGGUAAACAUGUUAAUAACACUACAUGCACUAUUCUUUUAAAUUUUUGCAUGGUCAAAAUAUCUAUUUUUUGAAUUUUAAAGUUAACGUAAGUAUUAUGACCAUUGUAACCUAUUUGUAACUUAAAAUUAAUAACUUUACCAUGUUUGAUAUUUUACCGCAUCUAAUAUUUUAUAGUGUAUAUCUAAUCAACAUCAAGCUAACAAAUUAGUUUUGUAAUUUUUAUGAAUGUUAUUUGAUUUACUACGCAAUAAAUUAAUACAAUAGCAAUUGUAAAAGAAAUAAAAUUAAAAAGAUGUUUAAGUGGGAAAUAAAAUAGUACGAUGCAACCCGGUAGUAGGGGGGCCUUUAAUACUGGGUGGGCUUUUGCCCGGUACUAGGGGGAGAGGGCGUGCGUAACACUACAGCGAUCGUCGUUCCAACAACACUUAGCGCAAUUUCUUCCUCCUCCCGAAUCCGCCCCCACCCCCCACACACCACACGCCCCCAUCACCAUCGCCGUCCGUCGCCACCGCCUCGCCUCAUCCACCGCACUAGCCCCGCCACGUCCACCGCCGCCCCGCCUCGUCGUUGCCCUGGCCCAUACGCCCGCUGUUGCCCCCGGCCCGUACGCCCUCGUCACCGCCCCCUCGUCGCAUCCCCUGUCGACCGCCGCUGCCCCCAACCCAUACAUCGACAGCCGCCCCCGGCCCCUCACCGCGACGCCGCCGCCGCCAAGCCCCUCCACGCGACCGCACACGGCCGGCUGCGGACUUGUGUCUUGGUCGCUGACGUAAGCCCGUGGCUGGUCGUGACAUCAUCUUUUUUUUAUUUCUGUAGUAUUAAAAAUUAGCUAGAAAUUGUAGGAAAAAUUCUAGUAAAUCUUGUUAAUUCUUAGAAAAAUUCUUGAAAUAGCUAGAAAUUAUAGAAAAUCCUGUUAAUUAUAGUGUUUGAGACAGGAGCCGGGGAAUAAUUUAUGCGAAUACUACGUAUGUGAGUUCAUCCAUGGCUUUGUAGGUCCACCGCGUGUGAUCGAUCACGAAUUAAGAGUACGUAUACAAAAUUCGUAACAAUAAAUUAGUUCUAAUUGUGCAGACCCAUUGAUCUACUGUAUAAUAACCUUUGCUAAUGACACAGAUGAUGCAAAUGAAGGAAGCACUCCUCGACACGGAAAAAAUCAGGGCAAUUCAAGAACAACUCUGUGGAUUUUUUCUGGACGAGGUAGUAAAUCAAGGGGGAGUUCCAUAAUGAUGGAUCAAAUCUGCAUCAUCGUCAGGACUCGGGUUCAGAAUAGUUGAUCCGAAAUGUUGAACUUGGAAAGUUGAUGCAAUGUAAUAUUAUUCAUAUAUGUGUAUGUACGUUAUGUCUAUAUAUAUUAUAUAUAUAUAAUAGUAUCUCAAUAUAAUAUUAUAGAUAAAUAUAACUUUAUAUAUAUUAGCGUAUUAGAACUAGUAGAGACAAAUACGAAAUACUAAUGCAGAAUAAAGAAACAAAAAAGAAACAGAAAAAAUAAAUUAGUACCAGUUGGUGAGAACAACCGGUACUAAAUUGGUUGCGGCCACGCGACGUGGUAGGCCAUUUAUUACCGGUUGGUUUCCUCAAUAUGUACUAAAGCACCUCCUUUAGUACCGGUUAUUUCAAUCGGUACUAAAGGGCCCCCUUUAGUACCGAAUUAGUAAUACCGGUUGCGCAACCGGUACUAAAGGGGAUUCCUAACCGGUAUUGAUGGGGCUCGUCCUUUCCUAUCCUAGUAUUCCAUUUUACUAUGAAGUAUAGCUAUGGUAUGCGCAGCUCACCUGCCUAUAUUCAAGAAAUAAAUGGAGGUUCUAUCUGUUAGCACUAACCGAUAGGAUCGUCCCCGGUUCUCCAGGGUUGUUGGAUCUAGCACUAGCUAUUCUCAUUCUAUUAGCUGACUGAAACUAACUGCAUGUUGGUCCGUCAUUGUAGGACGCCUAACAAUGCUCUGCACAUGUAUAAACUGCCUCAGAGAUGAUCAAUGAAUGUCAUCGAUUGCCUCUCCAUCUUCACUAUCUCUUGGACCAUAAGAAAAAAGAGUUUUCCUUAGAAAUUGGAUACUUGGUUGACCCCCCUUAUGUACAUUAUGUUAAUACUAAUUACAAUUGUAGGAGUCUUGAUUCUUAUUUUUAUAUAGUGACAGUCGAUGAAGGAUGUAUAAACCAAUCUCUCAAAACAAUGCUCCAACCGAUCCCUCAUCCCAAUUCUCGCUACUUCUGACAAUCCCCUACUUGAGACAGGACCUAUGUGGCGUGAAGUAAGAAAAACUUUAGGGGAUCAAUGGAAGCAUGCCGAGAAAUAAGAGAUGGAAUCCAGAUAGGGAAUGCCCUAGUCAGGUGAAUAGGGAACCAAAAAUAGAAGAGAGCUGGUUGCAUUGGAGUUGUAUGCAGCUCGACCUGUCUGCAUCACUAUUCCGCAGGGGCAGAUUCACGUGGUAAUACUACGUGUACACAAUGUAAUAUAGCUAGCACGAUCGAGGUCACUGCUACCUCAUCCUCUGGCGUGUGAUCUCACCCCACACACACACACACACAGAGAGGAUGUCAGUUGUCAGGUCAGGCUCUGACUACUGGCCUUAUCCGGCCAUAAGCUCUCAACACGAGCAGAAUUAGAAUGUUAAGCAGAAACACUUUUGGAAAAGGAAUAGCGCACACGAGACAGGGAGAUCCGUGGCCGAAAGAGGACAGAGGGUACAUGUCCAAUAGAAAGGAAACGCGAACAAAAACGUACGGGGGGCCGGGCCGGGCCGGCCAAGACGGGAGGAGCGAAAAGGGAGGGGACUGAUGGGACGGCACCAUGCUGCUGCCAUGCAAUGAUGCACUUGCACACAUAUGCUAUUCAUCGUUUAUUCGAGAGAGAGAAAUGCUUGCGUCGUCAUGGCUCGUGACAACAGCUGACAAGCUCAGAACACAUGAAAAAGUGUAUGGGCACGCGGUCAGCUCAUGACAUCUCUCUCCCCUUCGCUUUGCCUCCCACGCCCCUGCCCGUACGCUCGUCCCCGCCGGCCGGCCUGCUGUGCCUUUGCUGCCAGCGCGUCGAUCACUCCGAUCUAGUAACACACUGCUUGCCUUACAGCAGAGACGUGAUAGAUGAUGGCACGCACACAAACUUACGCCAAGAGAGAGGAAAGGUAACAACCAGCGCACCGUGCCAGUGCCAUCCUUGCAACAUGCAUGCAUGGGUCCAUGCCGCCGUCGAUCGCAUGGAGGCGCGUCGUCUUACCGUGUCGUACGUGGUCAUGUCAUUGUCAUGUGGGCACGAGACGCGCGGCAUGCCCCGCCGCCCGCAUGCCGCGGCCGCUAGCAACCUCCAAAACCAUCCCUCGUGGACUCCCCGUACCUGCGCUCCUCGCCGGCCGCCGCACCGCGCGAGACCCGCGAGGAGCACGCCACCCGGGACGGCCGGCCGCGCGCCAGCGCCACCGACCGGACCGUGUCCGCCGCCGCCACAGAAAAGCUAGCCGCCUUCCCACCUUGCCGCCGAUCCACCGCGCUCGCUGGCGGCUCUCACAAUCCCAAUUUUUCUUUCUUUUCUUACGAUCAGAAGCAGAAAACAUAUAUACGGCGUGUAGCAUACCCGUAAAACCUUUCUGCUGAUCACUUUUAUCACAUCGCGUCAAGACACUUGUACGAGCAAGCGAGGCAAGCCCUUUUCCGUACCAAGAGAUUCUAAGCUACGCGCGCCACGAAGUCCGCCUCCCUCAGCAUUGCGGCAUUGAAACCCGAAGUGACUAGAGAUGGUGCCGAGCGAGACACGCACAGGCCGCGGGAAAAGCCACACGGCCUUCCUCCCGGAAUUGGUGCCGUGCGAGAGAUGUGCAUCAUGUGUGUGCACCCUCCAACGGGCACGAACCCUAGCUGUCCGUUCAACGGGGGGACGAUGGCACUGUCAAUCGUGCAGACCAACAUGGCAAUGGCACAAUUACACAUCUGGCUCGGCACGAGUUAGAUCGAGUUUGACUCGCCAUCUAUUUCGAUGGCUUGGCUAGCCGGUGAACGUUAAUAGCUUUGCCUCGUCGCAUUGCUAGAAGUGUUUGGGCAGAAGCAGAGAACUGGACCCAUGAAAUGCACAAGAGUUUUGCGGAUAUGUUAGCUACGCUUCCGAGCGAGAUUAAACUAGGGAAUCGGGCCUGGUUAAAUUGCGAGUUCAUACCCAAACUACAAAAACGACAUAAAAAAUGAAAUAUUAGAACGAGGUCUCUAAAAUUGAGAACUCGUCCGCCCACCGAACCAUACCUAGGAACACACACAAAAAAUUCUAGGGCUUUUGUUGUGGUUACUAGUUUGGCAACAUCUAGGUUGACACAAUGGCCUAACCGCCGAUGAUCACCAGCAGUAUGAGAACAUGACGGGUCUUCUUAGCCGACAUAGGCCCUGGAGGUGGAUGCUCGAUGAUGUACUCAGCGGCGAUAGUGAUCGGGGCCGUUGGUGAUUGACUAGUCCUACGAGCGCAUUUACUUCCGUCGUGGAAAAUAUUUGAUUAUGGAUCCAACUAGAGAGGCGAUGAAUGAAUAGUGUAAAGCUAAAUAUUUUAAAUCUAUAUUUAGUGAUUAAAAAAGUUCUAGAUUUGGUGAUAAGAACCCUAGCUAGUGGCCAAUAUACCAACAUUAACAUACACUAUAAGAAAUGUGUUGAUCUAUAAUGAAAAUUUUAUGACACAUUUGUUCUCGUCAUAGAUCUAUGACGUUUCUGGCUGAGAAUGUUAUAAAGUUUCACAUCCGAGCAAAUUUAGUGACAAAGUUACGGAACGUCAUACACCCAACCUAAAAAGAAAACAUCACUCAAUAGUGUGGCUGAUCACUUCUCUUGCUAAAUUCAAAAAUCUAGAUCUCGACCAACUAAUGUUUGGGCGAGUUACUUGAAGAAUUUACCUUUAUGGGGUAGCUAGCUUCCCAGGGUUUGAAGUAGUGAUUUGUACUUCCUCUUAUCAUAAAUAUAGUAACUCUACUUUGAUGUCAAUGGGGUCUCCAAUACAAUGCCUAGGCUAGUUAUUUCUAUAUAAAAAAAUAGGUUGCCUCAAAUUUAAAUAAAUAUAUGUUAGUAAGCAGUUUUUAGACGAAUCUAGUGUAGCACCAAUUUGUAUGCUCAAUUUACAUGUGACGUUUUUUAUAUUAAUGGUCAAAGCUAGUUGUUGACUAGUUGUAUUAAUACUUAGUACCAAUUAAAGGUCCCACAAGCUAGAGCAUGGGCUGAUGGUUAGAGACAUGAGAAAGACAAAUAUUAUCAUGGUCAUGUUGGUCUUUGAUGCAUGGAUUCCUGGUCAACAGCGGUUAGGGAUCGAUUAAUACCACAUAGCGCAAGAUUUCAAGAUCCUCAAUUAAUUCCUCGUAGCGCCCCACCACUACUGUGCAAAAAUUGACUCAACACUGAGGAAAGAGCGCAAGUAGUGGCCCCGUGUCCUUGACUAUGCCAAAAGGAAGAAGGGAUCGAAGGAUUCUGGAGGCCUCCACUGAGGACGUGCUCUUGUAGCUAGGAUCACGAUCUAAUGCUUGUCUCUAGGGAAAAUGUGUCGAGCGUAUUAUAUGUACAUGAGUACAUGGACAAUCUCUUCAAUGUGACAGUGAUAUAGAUAUAUGGACGGCCCACCAAUUAAUCCAAAGAUUCCUUGAUCAUUCGUGGUCUAACCUUAGGGUCUUUAUAUAUGGUUUCGGAAAAUAAACUUCUCACACGUAUGGUCCUUUUCAGAGUAAUCCUGUACAAUUAUGUUGUUGAGACAGUAUCCAAGUGAUUUUUAAUUAGUUAACAUCGAGUUGCAAGAGAAUUUUAAUCGCAUAUAUAGAAGCUAAGCUCAUUAAAUUUUAUUUUGUUUUGAGUAACUAAUGGAAUAAUUUGAUCCGUCACUACCUUAUUCCUCAGUAGCAUACUCUUAUUAGCUUCAUACUAACUCGGAAUGGAUUCAUCCCAUCAAGAUUCAUGUUGACCCAAUCAUAGAUGCGGCGCUACCCUCAAGCUAGCCAAACAACAUAUUCCCGUUUCACCUUUUUCCCUACACUCUAUAAUAAUUAAACUACCCCAUGACGUGUGCCUGAGCUAGCCACGGUUUACUUCACCAAACACUUGUCACAAGUCAGAGGCCGAUGAAUGCAAGCUCCUGCAUGCAAGGGCGAGGAUGGUAGCCGGCCGAGCCUGCGCGAUAAAACGUGUCUUGAAACAACCGAACACGCCGCGGGUUGCCUGCUGAUAGAUGCAGGUACGUAGCUGCUAGCUAGUAGCCCCGGCCCCGGCCCCGGCCGGCCGGCGGGGUUGAUUUAUUGCCCUGUGGUGGUGGCUCACUUUUUCCCUGCGGGCGGCGACGUACGCCGGGCGGCCGGUGAAUUUGAGCGAUCAACCGCCGCCGAACUGAUGCACGUACGCUGCGCUGAAAAACUAACGCCUCUGCGAUCCGUCCGGUGGGUCGAUGCAUGCAUGCAUGCCUGGGCGGCCGGCAUCGUGCAUGGGGAGAGGAGGAGAGAGGGCCGGGAUAGGACCAUGGCGAUCCGACCCACUGUGCAGGCCGGCCGGGCCACCAUGCAUGGGUGCGUGCCGCCGGUCCGCCCUACACAUUGGCUACGUAGGCACCGGUACAACUUGACGCUCUUUAAUUCACCACCUGGCACAGGGGAUAUGCCGAAUGGUUACUGGUGGUGAGUGCUGAGAUCAACCGGACCCUCGAUCGAUGAACACAACGGUUGAUGCCCAAGCGAGCCCAAGCCCACCGAUCCAUCGAUCGAUACACAGCAUCCGUCCAUGGACGACUACCCUAGGCAUUUUUUUUAAACCAACCAAAAAUGAAUAAAUUUGAAACUAGACUAGGCUAGGCAUGGAUCGGUAUAUAUGUUUGCUAUAAGUUUUGUUGGCACUAUUAUUGGUUCUAGGUCUUCAUCCAACUGCUCUUACUCCUCUGUUUAUCCAUCUUUAGUUUCCCAUCAUAUUUCCCAUUAUUCAGUUCCGCAUCAAUGCUGACGCGAAGCCUGCGUAAGCGUGGUGGCAAUCCCUCCUUGUUUUGAUAUAAACGACUUGUUGUUCUCUUCAUAGAUCCGUAUCUGACGUGAAAAGCAAGCACGCCACAACCCAGCAAAUCUUCCGGAGAAGGCCGCGGUUUUGUUGACUGGGGCUUGAAUCCCUCGACCAGUCUGACAAUAAAUUUGACUAAAAUCGUAAUUUUUUUUAAAAAAAAUUGUCGGCUGUUGUAAGCAGUUUCGUACUAUGCUGCCUCUCGAUCCUGAUGUGGACAUACAACCACCAUAAGCAAGCAGAACACGGCCAGGAUUUCACUCUAGCUACCUUGUAUCGGUAGCUAGGUAACUGAUGACAAUGAAAGGCAAACAAUCAUGCGCGCACGACGCGAUGAUGCGCGAGCGGGCUCUGGCGAGGAGGGCAGGGGAGGACCGUGCGCCCCCCGGCCGACAAAUUCAAUGCCCCGCGGCGUACAAAAUGUCUGGGAACUGCGCCGUGCAAGCGAAUUGAAUCGGGGGCAGGCGGCCGGCUCUGGGCUCUGGGCUCUGGCUGAAGCUGCAGCCGCAUUGCGUGCCCCCAGUGCAGUGCCGGCCCGGCCGGUACCACCUGAAUUCUGAAAUGCACGCCCCCGUCGCCACCCUGCACGCCAUGCAUUCGACGGUAGCUCUCGCCAGACACAGAGCGGGUUCAGUAAUGGCCCGGAAUGGCCCGACCGCGCGCUCAGAAUGGCCCGGAGGAGCUAGAGAACCAACCGAUCGAGCAUAUCAGGCAGGGCGGAGCCGGUCGACGAUCAUCACACCGCGCGCUCAGGUCGGUGAUGAGCGCUCGAGGCCUGCGAGCCCGGAGAUCAGGCGGUAAGCUGACAAGUCGUACGUACGUUCUGGGUCGUCGCUGCGGCGCUGAGGCCGGCGAGCUCCGGGCUGGUAAGCUCAGAUCGGAGCGACGGCUGACGAGAGAGGCCACGCGGCUGCUGGGGGCUGCUGUGAAGAUCGGGAGGAGGUGACGUACUACGCGCGCGGUGGUGCACCGCAUGGCAGGGCUGCUGGCCAACGCCGCCACGCCGAGCAGGAGCUUCUCCUAGGCUGUGAAGAUCGGGCGGUGGUACCUUAAAUAGCCGGCUAAUAGGUUUAAUUUUUAACACCUAGUGCAUAUGACGUGGGGAAAACUCAGCUUUAAUUUUUGAGCAUCAUGUGAUCCUCAGUUGUACGUGCCCUUGGUGGUCACCGAUGAAGCUGUGGAGCCAUGCAUGCAGUUGGAUUCAUGUUAUUAGGAUGGCUGGCGAGCCUAAGCUGAGCUUGGAGAAGAACUUCAUUUAAGUGGCCUUGGAUCGUGCCAUUUGUUUUAAAUCCAAUGAUUGGUGGUUGCAGCAUAUAAUUAUAUACAUGGUUUACUUAUCAUUGUAACGUGCAGCUCUAUAGAUGGCACAGAGAUUUAGAAAAAUGAUUUGGUUCGUUGCAUGAUAUGUUAAGGGGCAUAUAGAUAAUGUAUCACACUAUAUAUUUGAGAAAUAUAACCUCUAGUAUGAAUGGCCGAUAGCAAUUAAUUGAUGAUAUAUGCAAAGGAUGAAAAAAAACACUUGAAUCACUUGCCUCUUUCACUAGUCUAAAAAGUUGAAUGUGAGCUACACCAGUGUCAUUCUCUUACAUAUUAAACUUAAUUUACAAAUGAUUAUUUCUCAAUCUAGGAGUGAAAACAAUAGGAGAAAUCAAUCAAAUGUGCACUAAUUAAUCUAAGGUCAAUAGACUGGUACUAUAUUCUUUUUUUUUCCCACCAUUGCCCGAUAAGGAUCCUAGUAAUAGUAGAUCAUAGUUAUAAUUUGACCCUUGUUGCAAUCAUGCUAGAUGUUGGAGUAUUCUUAAACUCAAACUAAUCUCACCUAUUAGAUUGGAGGAAAAAAAAUAACAAUUGAGACUAGAUGAACACAGUAAAAGAGUUUUUAUUUUUUGUCAAAUUUUCUACAAUAUAUGUAUAAAUGUCUAGAACCUAUACUAAGGUGAUAUAAUCCAUGCCAUGUGAACGAUAGCUUGUUGAUAGUCAGGUUUGUAACAUUUAUUCAAGAUCAAAUAUUAUAUGUUGCUCAUAUGCAUUUAUUUACUAUUUGUGUAUUGUGUAGCUCUAUACAUGAUAAACAAAUCUGAAAAAGAGAUUUAUUCGAUGUAGCGGUGAUAAGAAACAUAUUUGUGUUGAUAGAAAAAUUCAUAAUUUUGGGAAGUAGAACGUUCUACUACAUAUUUUAGAAACUUCUAACUCCUACUUCGAAUUGAUAACACUACUGAUCUGUGCAGCGGAAUAUAAAUUCAUUAUUAUACUUCUAACUUGUUACUAUCCUUGUGAAAAUUUAUUUGGGAAUGUCUGGAUUUUCAGAAGCAAAGUUUGAUGCGCAUAGACAACCCAACAUUUUUUAUAAUUUAAUCAUGAUAUAUUUAUUUUUUAAUUUCUAGUUUAUUUAUUUUAUGAGAAAAUAAUUUGAUGUAGAUAUGGUCAACAUCACGAUGGAAUGUGAUCUUGAUAAUUGAGCCCAUUGCUAGCGCAUACGCGCGGCCGCAUGAUGCUGCGUGCGCGGCUCCUUCAAUGGGAUCACCCGUGACAGUGAAUACACACGCGGUUGUGAGUCCGAGCCUACUAUGGAAGGCACGCGUUGAGGGUACCAAAAUGUACGUAUACAUGCAUAAUUUGAUUUUAGGUUCAGCAAUUUUUACUCUUUUUUCUGGAUUUCUUGAGUUAUUAUAGGGUUGAUCUCGUGAUUUUUGGAGUUCACGUAUGUAUUGAUUCCUAUGGUUCCUUUUGAAAAGAUGAGUGAUUUGAUAGGAAGAAAUGAAAUAUUUCUUAGUACAUUAUAUACAUUUUAAAAUUAAUUAUAAAUUAUUACUUUAAUUCUCAGUUUUGUGCUUGCUUUGUGUACCUUGCACGCGAGACUAACGAGCCGGCUCGAGUUGCUAACGAACUGAGCUGAGCCAGGUUCUUUUCUCGUUUCGUUAACCAGCCGAGCCAAGCCUUAGUCUAGCGAGCUAACCGAGCCAGGUUGCUCGAUAUCCACCCCGUGCGCAUUCUGUUUUCUUUUCCUCGGCUGCUUCCCUUUUCCUUUCUCCGCUCCACUCUCGCUCGGCCUUUUCUUUCCUAGCGGCGACGACAAGGGCGAGCAGCCACCCCCCUGGCCAGGUCUUUGCCGGGCGACCACCGGCCCUUCGUCGGGCGCCGGAGACGAGCAUCCGACAGACGACAGAGGUGUGCCUGCCUAUUCCCUUGCCCUUCCUACGGUGCGAAAUCGAACACCCAAAACCUGAUGUAUGCUACUUAUAUUUGGAUCUGACCAUGUAUGUACAUAUCUUCUAAAAUUCGAUUUUUGUCCGCCGCCCCUGUCUACAAGGGAAACCCUUGCUGUGACUUACUUAGAUCUCCAUUCUCUUCCCGCAGAGGGAGAUCGAUGGCCGCCUCGUCGGCGUCGUCGGUGCCGCCGGCCUCCACGGGCUCCGUGGUCACCGUGGUCUCGCCGUCCACGGGCGGCGGCUCCAUCUCCGGCAGCUCGGGCGCCGGCGCAGGCUCGCCGUGCGCGGCGUGCAAGUUCCUCCGGCGCAAGUGCCAGCCGGACUGCGUGUUUGCGCCCUAUUUCCCGCCGGAGAAUCCGCAGAAGUUUGUGCACGUGCACCGUGUCUUCGGGGCCAGCAACGUCACCAAAAUCCUAAAUGAGCUCCACCCCUGCCAGCGCGAGGACGCCGUCAACUCGCUCGCCUACGAGGCCGACAUGCGCCUCCGCGAUCCCGUCUACGGCUGCGUCGGCGUCAUCUCCAUCCUCCAGCACCGCCUCCGCCAGGUCCAGCAGGAGCUCGCCCGCGCCAGCUACGAGCUGUCCAAGUACCAGGUGAAUUCUACGCGACACGUAGGCCUCUCCUGUCACGUGUACACAUUUAUGUACAAGAUGUACAUGUCGACCCUAGCCAGCGCGUACGUGUACGCGUGCAUUUUCUGAUGAGUAUACGACCGUGUUUUUCGGUUCUGAUGAGUAUACGCGCCGUGCUUUUCGGUGGUGUAGGCGGCGGCUGAAGCGGCGGCGGCGGCGGCGGCCUCUGUGGCCGUGGGAUCCAAUGGCGCCGCGGCGGCAGGGAUGGCGGAUUUCGUCGGCAACCCAGUGCCCAACUGCACGCAGAACUUCAUCAACGUCGGCCAUCCCACGGCGGCGGCGGCGAUCGGCGGGGCUGGGUUCGUGCAGCACGACCAUUUCGCCUCUGUGCAGAUGCUGGCGAGGAGCUACGAUGGAGAAGCUGCGACGGCGAGGCUGGGUAUGAACGGAGGAGGAGGAGGCUACGGCUUCGCGUACUCAUCGGCCAUGGGCGCCGGGCACGGUGUGGUGUCUGGCGUGGGGCAGAUCGGCGGCGGACCGUUCUUGAAGUCCGGCACGGCCGGCGGGGACGAGCAACCCGCAGUCGCGCAGUAGUGGAGCAUCUAAUCUUUGUCAGGUUCGAUUCUAUGUUCCAUGCAUAUAGAGGAUAAGGUUUCCCGUUCGUGAUUUCUGUAUGCUUCUCCUUUACCAUGUACUCCUAUCUGAUGCUAAGCAAAUUUUUAUUAUCAAUUUAUCAUGCAUGAUGCAUCUGUUGUAGCGACGAGAUGCAUACUUCAUAAUGGUACUUUAUAGGAACAUUCUGAUCCAAUGACUUAAUUUGCUAAUUUGUAUUGGAGUUGUACGCACUGCUAUAACUCGCUACUGCUUAUGCACGCGGUUAGGUUUGCAAUACCGUUUGCUUGCUCAAAUUGGAGUCUCAAGCAUUCAGAAUUUAGCUUCUAGAAAGUUCUCACUAUAUAUCUUAACAUGUAUGCUUAGACAUUAUUGCCUAUAAUCAACAAACUGAUCAAUUUUUAAAUUAGAAAGGAGAGGAAUGAAAUGCAUAAGCUUCGGUGACUAGCAGAGAGUGCAAUAAUCUUAGGCUUUGUAGCUGUAGGAGUGAAAGGUAUUUACAAGGAAUGAUUGAUGUGGAAAAAUAUCUACGUGAAAAACUUUUUGGAACAAUAAUCUUCACGAUUAGUAAUAAAAGGGAAAUAAGCUAGAAUAAAUAUAGCUACCGUUGUAACAUUAUUUGGAUAUUGUCUCUUGUCAUCAAUCCAUUUAUUUGUUCCUAAAACAAUUAUAUUACACAUGAUUCAUCAUAUAUAAAUGAAUGAAUGUAGAGAUGGAGCUUCAUUAAUUUUUGAUAAAAAAAUUCCAAGUCUAAAUGGGAUAGAUUUAAAGGAAAUAGUACCAAUUUAUACAUAAUUUUUUACAAACUAAAAUAAACACAUGCCCAUGUAAGCAUAUUUAGUUGUAUCACUAAAACCUUGAUCAACCCAUCCAUCACAUUUUUUAUAUUUCAUGUCAUAUAUGAAAGCCAUGGAAAUAUAAAUUUUGUUAGAAAGAAGGUACUUGCCAAAAUUUUGAUAUCUUUAGUUGAGAAAUAGUUUUAUUUGAGGGUGAAACUACAUAAAAAUCGAACAUAAUCUCAUUCAUAUAAUAUGUUAAAUUAAAUUAUAUUUAUUUGUUAUAUAGCCAUGGAGAUUGUGAUUAUAAUACUUUUUCAUUUUUAUAACCUUUGGUUGCCAAAUUGUAUUAUGAUGUUUUUUGGUUCUCAUUAAACAUUAUUAUAUGUUAGCAUAAUAAUUUUAGCCAAUUUAUUACUAUUAAUAUUUGUAUAGAUUUAUCAAUCAAAUAUGUUUUUGUUUUAGCGUUUGGUAGCCAAAUGUAAUCGUUACAUAAAAUAGUAAUGAUGUAGUUAAUUUUUAUAAGUUUCUAUUUUGUAAAAUAGUGUCUGACACAAGAUUUUGCACUUUACUACUAUACAGGUUAUGACUUAUGAAGGAAAGAUCCAGAUGCUUAAUUAACUGCUUGAGGACGUGAAGACUAAAUUAUGUGCGAAGAUAAAAAAGAUUUCGAGCAUCCUUUAUGAGAUGGUAAAAGAAAGAAGUCCUUAUUUCCUAUUAUUUGUUUAAUUUGUUGAUGUCGUUGGCGUAGUCGGUUUGGACAACGCUCCAUAUUAUUUGGGUUUGUGUUAUGUUGUUGCUUUAUUGUCUAUGGACAUCAUAUUCCUGUAUAUGGAGCUUUGACAUUAAUUUACUGAAAAUAAUAUAAAGUUUGAAAUUGAUAAUUAAGUUCGAGUAUAUUAAGAUAUGCAUAUUGUAUUUGAUGAAGUAUGUGAAGUCCUACUCUAGAUUGAUUUAAUUUGAUCAAAUGAUUCUCUCACUUUAUAAAUCCUAGCUAAUACAUUUUGAUUGCACAAAGAUAAUCUUAUAUCUAUAUAAAAAGUGAAGUAUUCCACUUAUCGUCCUAAUAUAUUGAUCGCCCCCAAGUAGAUGAUCUCUCUAUAUAAAAAGUUGAUUGAAUAUACUAGUAGAAGUAAACGUAAACAGUCCGGACGUGUAUGCUGUUCCACUAAGGGCUCGAUCGAGAGGCAGGAUCGAUAUACUGCAGUAACUAGCUAGCUUGAUCUAGAGGUAGGACCAAUGGACUGCAGUAGUACAGCAAAACGCGGCUAGGGAAUAUGAGGCGAUAGUAGCUAGCAUGCACUCCACGAGAAACAACCCAUCUAAGCUAAAGGGGUGUUUGGAUAUGAAGUGCUAAACUUUAGCAGGAUCACAUCGGAUAUUCGGAUGCUAAUUAUAAGGACUGAAUAUGAGCUAAUUACAAAACUAAUUGCACAGAUGGAGUCUAAUUCGCGAGACGAAUCUAUUAAGGCUAAUUAAUCCAUCAUUAGCACCACAUUGUCAAAUCAUGAACUAAUUAGGUUUAAUAUAUAGAUUCAUCUCGCGAAUUAGACUCCAUCUGUGCAAUUAGUUUUGUAAUUAGACUAUAUUUAAUACUCCUAAUUAGUAUCCAAACAUCCAAUGUGACAGGUGCUAAAGUUUAACACGGUGUUCCCAAACACCCCCUAAGUCGAUCAACUAUCGUGGUCUAGUCUGAAACAAAAAAAAAAGUAUGAUAACGGGCUAAAUGUCCAAAUAUACAUGGCUUUCGUAACAACUUGAGAAAAAAAA
rnacentral:lncRNA from 1 species